rnacentral:lncRNA from 1 species
AAGGCCUCUGAUAUCCUGGGUUUCAGGUUAUGACUCCAGUGUGAAGGCCUCUGAUAUCCUGGGUUUCCUGGUGCCAAGUUGGCUGGAUUAAGAUGAAGUAUUGGCGUGAGGUGAAUGCAUUCUGCUGUUUGCUCGUAGAAAUAGCCUAGUGACAAUUAUGAGAAAUUUCUAGCUUUCAAAGAUGGAUUAUGCAUCUGCGUGUGCUGUGAAGCUUUUAAGCACUGAACCUGGUCAGCUCGAUGUUGGAUACUUCCAUUGUAAUGUUUAGAAUCUUUUUUUCUUCACUUGCAUGUUUUCAACCGGAACGCAGCUGUAGCAUGCUCCAGGCAUCCAAACUGGCAGCAUGUUUACGAGUCGCUGGAUCACAAUGAUAGGUGUCGAGGACUUAGGAUAGAGUUUGCUAUCUAUCCUUUUUUUUCCCUCAAAAAAAAAGGAUAGAGAGGAUAGAGUUUGCUAUGCCAUCCCCAGCCCUGUCGAAAAAGGCAACUUUUGCCGCUCCCCUUCCCCCUCACCCAAGGGUGUGUGCUUUCCGUUUGCCAUCCGCGCUGCCCCUCUUCCCCAUCCGUUUAACCCUAAACCCUUGCAUCAACCUGCCCCUCUUCCCCAUCCCUUUAACCCCCCUUGCAUCAACAUAGGGUUCCAGACAGGAAACUUGGAUAGUUCACUGUUUUCCAACCAAAUUCCGUGUAUAUAGCGAGGAGAUCUUUCUAAAAACUUCAACUUACAUGUACAGACGCACGAUCAAUUUAAUCUAUACAUAGAUUCAGAAAAUAUAUAUAGGAUGUAGGCUCUAGCUGUAAGAAAUAGUUGCCACUUGUACACCAAAAGAGUCCAGACCACCACAUCAUAUUGCACUGACGCCAACAAAAGCAGCUACUUAAUUCCUUAAAAUACAUGCAACAAGAAAUUAUCCCAAACCCAAACAACAUGAAUGACGAUCCAUGGGUGGGAGGGGUGGGGGUGCUCUGCUUUGAGCAACAUCAGAAACAGAGCGCCAUUGCACAACAGUACUCCAGCAAAAACAACUUGUAGUAGGAGGAGAACACCCUGACCACGCCACAACUCGUUGUUCGCAGCAGGCACCUCCUGUGGUCGGGUUUUGGAGGUAAUCUGCAGGACUACGAGCAUCAAGUUAGUUAGUUUUUUUUUUUUUUUUUGCGGGGAAGCAUCAAGUUAGUUAUAUUUUAAAACAAUGUAUCAGGUUAGUUCGCCUACUGAACGGUUACGACAGUGACAAGAGUAGUGGUCUUAUUUACAAAGAAAAGGCACAUCCAUUUAGUGAUAAACCUUCUGUAAAUUAUGCGCAACACCUAAGGCACCAAAGACUAAGUACGUGUUUACCUUAUCUCCCUCCAAGAUAUGCCUCCUAAACUCCGUGAAGGCUUGCAGCCACUUCAUGCAUGUUGGGGCGCUCACUCGGGGACAACUUGGUGCAGCAAAGUCCAACGUUUAGCACCGAGACUAAACAGUCCAAAUCUUUUUCCUUGGUGGCUACUGGACGAUCUUGUAGCAAGUCAGAGUCAACAAUCUGUGAUAUCCCAGCAGGAAAAUUCAUCUCCACAAAGUUUGUGAUGCUCAGUCCAUCCUUGAACAUAUCUUCUGUCGGUCUCUUCCUCAAAAAUGUUUCCAACAGAAUAAUCCCAUAGCUAUAAAUGUCCCCGGCAACUGAAACUUCACCACCAGUUGCCCACUCUGUAACAGCACGUACGACAAUAGUUUAGUCAAAAUAUUAACAUAAGCAUCACAAAUAAGGAGUCAUUUUCAAGUUAUGCUGUACCAUAUAUGGCACAACAUGAAAAACGAACAACAGACAUCACCUGGAGCGACAUAUCCGAUCGUUCCUUUUAUUACAGUCGAAGAAGCAGAGUUUGAGUCACCGAAAUAUGACUGUGUCGGACCAGCUUUGAACCUCGCAAGGCCAAAAUCUCCAACGUGAGCUGUCAUAUUAUCAUCCAAAAGAAUGUUGCUAGGCUUCAAAUCACAAUGAACAAUAGCACCUUGGUUGUCAUGGUGGAGGUACUCCAGUGCAUCUGCUACAUCCACCACAAUGCUCAACCUUUGAGCUAGUGUAAUGCGCUCUGAAUUUGAAGUGUUUUCAUCUCCCAAAGCUGAGUACAGUAGUGCGUGCAAGUCACCCUUUGGCAUGAAUUCAUAUACUAGGGCUUUGAAAUCAUUCCCUUUAGAAUCGAUACUCGAGCAAGCAGUUAGGAUAGGAUCCAGAUUCCGGUGCCGCACAUUUCUCAAAGCAUUGCAUUCCGCAAUGAAGCUCUUUUGUGCUCCUCUUGUCUCUAGGGUGAAAACUUUAACAGCAACAAUAGUUCCAUCUUGCAACAGUCUACCUUUGUACACAGAACUGUAUCCUCCUCUGCCAAUCAAGUUGGAUGUGGAGAAGCCAUCAGUUGCUCUAUCAAGAUCGUGGCAAGAAACUCUGGGAAACUUUCGACCAAAAGAAGGGAGAGACAUGUAAAUCUUCUUCCGUUUUCUCCUCCAGAAUAGCAAGACAGAUAUGACCACAGCAAGUGACACCAUGCUGACUAAUGGGAUCACUACUUUGAGCACUGUUGAUGUCACGUGCUUAGUUGAAUUCGAAGGUAUGACAGGGCAGGCCGGUAGGUGUAACUUCGCUGCACCACCGCAAAGCCCCUUGUUCCCAUCUACCCAUAAAGCAGUCACAUUCUUGAAUAUGCCUAUUUCUGGGACUUCGCCUCCGAGACGGUUGAAUGACAAAUCUAGUUGUUCAAGAUACAUCAGGCUGCCAAUAGAUUUCGGUAUGGAUCCUGAUAAGCGGUUGUGAGACACAUUGAGUACUUGCAAGUUUCUGAUGCUGCCUAGUGACGCUGGAAUGCUUCCACUAAGAAAAUUCUGAUCCAACUCAAUGUAUUCCAUACUGUCACAGUUGCCCAGUGUGUCAGGGAUGCCACUGGACAGGUUAUUAGAUGAAAGAUACAAGUACUGUAGUUGCUUGGCACGGCCUACUUCAGUAGGAAGUGGUCCACCUAGGCUAUUUGAAGAUAGCGCAAUUUCUCUAAUUGUAGGAAUGCUGAAUAUCUCCUUUGGAAUGCUACCAUCAAGAAUGUUAUUGGAAAGUUCCAAUGACUCAAGGGUUUUGAGGUUUCCCAAACUCGGGGGUAUAUGCCCAUACAACUGGUUAGAAUCCAAAAAGAGUUCCCCCAGUAGAGAUAAAUUAGAGAGGGAAGAUGGAAUAUAUCCUGUAAAAGCGUUGUUCCUUAAUACGAUAACCCGCAAGCUCUCUAGAGUUCCUAGCCAUUCUGGAAUGACACCGGUAAACUGGUUUUCAUCCAAUGCCAAAAACUCCAGGCUGUGAAGGUUAGCUAUACCGGCAGGGAAACCCCCUGAUAGUCUGUUCCUUCCGAAGAAGAACAUUUCAAGUUUGGCAGAAAGGUUGGCAAAUGUAUCUGAUAACCGUCCUUCAAGACGAUUCCCACGCAGCGACAAUUUCUGUAGCUCAGUGCAAUUGCUUAGACUAUUCAUAAACUCCCAGUCUUGCUUGUCAUGUGCUUGUAACUGAUUGUAUUCAAGAUUCAACCAGGAGAGCUCUUUAAGUUUGCCAAUAGAACUAGGCACCACCCCAGUGAAAUUAUUACUCAACAAAUCAACCAAGGACAGCUUAGAAGCAUUCACCAGCGAAUUUGGGAUAGGCCCGUCAAACAAGUUGUUAAAUAAACCAAACUUUUGAAGAUUGGGUGAUGAACUACCAAGGUUGGAUGGCAGUUGGCCACUUAGAUAGUUGGAGGCAAGGCUUAGUACAGCAAGAGAAGACACAUUGAGGAUGGCUGGUUGGAACCUUCCUGAUAGCUUAUUUCCCCAGGCGAAAAAGAACUGCAGCAUGGGCAUAUUUCCGAUUUCACUUGGGAUCUCGCCACUGAUCCGAUUUGACGAGACAUCAAGUCGAGUUAGUGUUGUGACGUUAAAAAGUGAAACGGGAAUUUUGCCGGUAAGAUUGUUAUAUGAAAUCAGCAGGCUUUGAAGGUGAGGAGGAAAAUUGGCAUGUGUAGGGAUUUUUCCAACUAGGUGAUUGCGAUCCAGCCAUAGCAUCUGCAGACUAGAACAAUUUGCGAAGUCUGGUAUCUCACCCUCGAGUGUGUUAUUACUCAAGUAGAGAUUCUGGAGGUGCUGCAGGUGACCAAGGGACGCAGGGAUUUGUCCAAUGAACAGAUUGCGUGGUAGCGAUAGAUUUCUUAGAAAUGUAAGAUUUCCGAGUGACAGAGAGAUGCGCCCUUGUAAGCCUCGACCGCUGAGGUCGAGGGAAGUGACGCGAUGUCGAUUCUUAGGCCUACACGAGACACCUUCCCAGUUACAGAAAUCCGAGCUGUCAUUCCAGGACAUGAGAGCUUGCUGGGGAUCAAGACUGAUUGCCUCCUUGAAUUCAAGCAGUGAUAACCGAUCUGUCGCAUUUCCAUGUGAGGAGCAGACGACGACAUGGGUACUGCAAGCCACAAGUGCCAAGAGAAACUGUCCAACUGCAAUAACCAUCAUGGCUGGAUUUCUUUCUUUGUCCAAUUUAGAGCUUCAUUAUAUGCAUAAAUAAUACAAGCGGCAAAAAAUUAGAUAGGCAACAAGUGUUGGCAAAUACUAUAUGGAAUUGUUGGUGAGUGAAGUACCUGAAAGACUACCCUGCCCUAUCAGGAACCAACUCUUCCUCUCUGUUCCAUCAGCAAGAUUAAGCACAAGUCAAAAGUAGAGUCACUGAAUGUUGAAUAUUACUAUAACUGCGCUUUACUAAUCGAAUUGCCAUUCGGAUACUGUGUGUGUGUAGGACACAGAAACUUUCCUAGCAAGAGUUGACCUCUUAUUUAUACUACUUUUGUGGUAAGCUUUUAUGUACAUCUAUCAGGAAAACAUGUUUGUAUCAACUAGCAAGCACCGUAAUAUAUAAUCAUCACCAAAACACAGACCAACGCGUAUAAAAUUGCGUUUCAUGCUGAUUAGAAACUCGUGUUUUCUCGAUCUGGAAAAGAGGUUAUAUACAAACUCAAAGAUAAGCUAGACAUUUGUGCCCUUCAAGUUGUUGUUGGCCAUUACCCACCACUUAUUGGACAUUUGGAAAAUGAAGAGAGUGAUCUGAAGUUGUACACUAUGCAGCAAGACUGCAAAAGCAUGUCAUCUUAACUGUAGAAACACUGAAACAGUAUGUAACUCACCAUGCUUUUGCACCACCUCCUUCAGAGAGAGCCUGCAUGCGUACUUUUGUUGGAUAGCGGCGAUAGGCCUAUAUAAGUUCUUUACUAGCUGCUUAGAGCGAUACACGCUUCAUUUAUAGGCGAACCAAGUAUCUACCACUGACAAGCUAUAAUGUCAACGUGUUUUUUUUAUAUUAUCUAAAAGAAUGUAUUCUUCUUUCUACAGUCCAGUCCCUAUCCAUGGAACCAGUCAAAGACGGCUUCCCAUGGAUUCUUUCUACAGUCCAGUCCCUAUCCAUGAAACCAGUCAAAGACGGCUUCCCAUGGUGAUCAGUAGCAUUAUUGACACAAUUUCAACAAAGAAAGUGAUUAAUAAUAAUAUAUUAUAUUAUAAAAGGGUCCGUCUAAGGCACAUCUAAGUGACUCAAUCAAGUAUAAGAAGGAAAAACAAAAGACAAAAGGAAAAUACCCACACGAAUCUCCGUGUAAAAUCAAUGACGUGGGACUUAGAUGUGCAAUACUUACGGCACAUCUAGAUGUGCUUUAACAAAACUGAUACUUUUGAGGUAUGUGUCACAAAAGUUACAUCAUUAAAUUUGUAUUAAAAUAUACUAUACUAAAUCACCGACACUUAUUUUGAGACGGAGGGAGUAGUUUUCAAUAAUAAUACAAUUUUCAUAACAUGUGCUUAAUAUUAUUAUUGAUCAAAUUGAUGGUCAAUGUUUAACCAUGAAACUUUAAUGCCAAAGUUUUUUUGAUAGGGUCAAAGUGUUUCUUCUUCAUUCUAUAAAAGGUUAUUUUUCUUUCUUCGGGUUAAUGCAUAUCAAUACAAUCAGUCGAAGACAACUUUCCUACCCGUAGCUAUUGACUCCCUCUCUAUAAUGGAACUUGGAAAACGAUGGCCUUUUUCGUGAAAAUCAAACUUGAAUAGACUUGACUUUGGUGGCCCAUAUAUAAUAAUUUCCACAUCAAGUGGAGCCACGAUGCUCUCCUACGGAAAGAAAAAUCUUCGUGUGUUUCCAUCCGGUCACGUAUUUUGAGACUUCAUCUUAACCAUUACUUAUUAGUUUGAUAAAAAUAAUAGGGUAUGAGUAAAAGAAUUAUAUCUUCACGCCACUACAAAACAUGAUACCAGUGGCAUACGCAAAACAAGUACCAGUGACGGGUAGGCGCAUGCCACUUGUUUCCUGCCAUUACCAUCGAUAAUACAACUAUCAGUGGCCUGCGGGCAUGAUAGGCCGCCACUUGUGAAAGACCGUAGCGGUGGUGAGCACGUCUUCCCACCCAUUGGUAAGGCCGCCCAUGUCAAAUUAUGACGAUGUCAUGACAACGUUCUUUUACUGUCCUGCCGAUAUUUUGAGUGAAUAGCAUAAAACUACCACAAUUCGCGUUACGGUUCUAAAAAACUACCAGAAAUUUGUUUGUGACUAAUACCUACCACUUUCGGUGUCGGCUGUUUCAAAAAAACCCAAAUGGGUGAGUGGUUAACACCUGAUCAGGUUUAUGACAGCUGGGGCCUACCCGUAAGAUGACCGUUUGUUAGACCGUUUGUUUGACCGUUAACUUACAUGUAGGGCCUACAUGUCAGCGUCUCUUCCACAUAUUAAAAAAAUGCAAUCCCUCAAUUAGCAAUCGGGUCCCUAAAAAAUAAAAUAAAAAGCAAUCGGGUCCCUGAAAAAUAAAAUAAAAAGCAAUCGGGUCCCCGCCGGCGAGCUCGUCGCCAGAGCCGAUGUGGGCGUCGGCUAGCCUUCAGCAGCGCGUCCCCGAUGCUCUGCUGCACGCGGUGGAGCUCGAGGUCGUCCAUGCUGCCCUGUUGCACGCGGUAAAGCUCAAGGGCUCCCUGCUGUCGGCUGCAGGAGAAGCAGCCAUGGCGAGCUCCACCGGAGAUUGGGCCGGGCGGCGCACGCGCCAUAGGAGGUGAGCUACGGGGAGGAGGGAGGAGGCGUGGGUGGUGGAGCUGCUCGCCGGUUGCCUUCGCGCCCGUGGCGGUGGCCAGCCGUAGCCCGUCGUUGUGGCCGGCCGUGAGCGGUGGCUGACUGUGAGCCUUCCCGCACGUCGGCCGACAUCCCACGCGCGUCUUCCGGCGGCCGAGGAGAGAGGUAGGCUGGGGAGGGUCGUCGGCGGGUCGGGAGGUGAGAGGGUCGUCGCCUGGUCGGGAGCAGAGGAGAGAAGAGAGAGAUCGAUGGAGUUGAGCGGAGAAGAAAGACAAAGAGGAAGAUGAAGCUUACAUGUGGGCCCCACAUGUAAGUUAACGGUCAACCUAAACAAUCAAACAACGGUUUGUUUAGGAGUGGGCCUGACUUGUCAUAAACCAGAUCAAUUUUGAAUCACAUGGUGAUUUGGGUUUUUUGAGACAACCGACGUCAAUUUUGGUAGGUAUUAGUCACAAACAAAUUUCUGGUAGUUUUUUGGAACCGUAACGCGAAUUGUGAUAGUUUUAUGCUAUUCACUCCGAUAUUUUGCAUAUGACGACACAUUGCAUUGCAUGACGUAGAUAAAUUGAUGUAUAAAUAUGCAACCAUGCAUCCAUAUAUCGGGAUUGCAAUACUACAAAGAACGAUACAAGCUUCAUUUAUAGGCGAACCAAUUAUCUACCACCGACAAGCUAUAAUGUGAAUGUGUUUUUCUUUAUUAUCUAAAAAAUGUAUUCUUCUUUCUACAGUCCAAUCCCUAUCCAUGGAACCAGUCAAACGCAGCUUCCCAUUGUCAUUAGUAGCAGUAUUGACACAAUUUCAACAAAGAAAGUGAUUAAUAAUAAUAUAUUAUAUUAUAAUACGGUCCGCCUAAGACACAUCUAAGUGACUCAAUCAAGUAUAAGAAGGAAAAAAAUAAAAAAGGAAAAUACCCACACAAUCUCCGUGUAAGAUCAAUGACAUAGGACUUAGAUGUGCAAUACUUCCGACACAUCUAUAUAUGCUUUAGCAAAACUCCUACUUUUGAGGUAUGUGUCACAAAAGUUAUAUCAUUCAAUUCGUAUUAAAAUAUACUAUACUAAAUCAGCUACACUUAUUUCGGAACGGAGGGAGUAGUUUUCAAUAAUAGUAUAAUUUUCAUAACAUGUGAUAAUAUUAUUAUUGAUCAAAUUGAUGAUCAAUGUUUAACCAUGAAACUUUAAUGUCAAAGUUUUUUUGAUAGGGUCAAAGUGUUUCUUCUUUAUCUAUAAAAGGUUAUUUUUCUUUCUUCAGUUUAAUGCAUAUCAAUACAAUCAGUCAAAGACAACUUUCCUACCAGUAGUUUGCUGCUAUUGACUCCCUCUCCAUAAUGGAACUUGGAAAACAACGGCCUUUUCCGUGAUAAUCAAACUUGAAUAGACAUGACUUUAGUGGCCCAUAUAUAAUAAUUUCCACAUCAAGUGGAGCCACGAUGCUCUCCUACGGGGAAAAAAUCUCCGUGUCUUUCCAUGCCGGUCACGUAUUUUGAGACUUGAUUUUAACCAUUACUUAUUAGUUUGAUAAACAAAUAGGGUAUGAACAAAGGAACUAUAUCUUCACGCCACUACGGAGCAUGAUACCAGUGGCAGACACAAACAAGUACCAGUGGCGGGUAGGCGCACGCCACUGGUAACCUGCCAUUACCAUCGAUAAUACAACUAUCAGUGGCGUGCGGGCAUGAUAGGCCGCCACUUGUGAAAGACCCUAGCAGUGGUGAGCAUGUCUUCCCACCCAUUGGUAAGGCCGCCCAUGUUAAAUUAUGACAUUGUCACGACAAUGUUCUUUUACUGUCUGGGUUUAACUGGGCUCUGGUUGCGGUUUAUGGGGCUGCGCAGCCCGAGCUCAAGCCCGAUUUCCUGGCUGAUCUAGUUCGGAUAUGUGGUUCCGAGCAGUUGCCGUACCUGGUGGGGGGUGAUUUCAAUAUUAUUAGAAGGCGUGAGGAUAAGAACAAUGAUAACUUUGACGGCAGAUGGUCGUUCAUGUUCAAUACUAUCAUUGAAAGUUUGAACCUGAGAGAAAUUGAGCUCUCGGGCAGAAAAUUCACCUGGGCUAAUGCGCUGCCAAAUCCGACGUAUGAGAAGUUGGAUCGUGUGUUGGCUAGUGUCGAGUGGGAACAGAAGUUUCCUCUAGUAACAGUCCAGGCCUUGUCCCGUGGUUUUUCUGACCACACGCCGCUUUUUGUGGACUCUGGUCAGCCCUCCCACUUGGGGAACAAGAAUGUGUUCUCCUUUGAGAUGGCUUUGUUUGAACGUGAAGGCUUCCUGGAUCUCGUGGCUAGAGAGUGGGCUAAGGAUUCAGGAGGAAAGACUGCACUUCAGCGCUGGCAGAAUAAGAUCAGGCACUUGAGGAGUUUCCUGCGUGGAUGGGCUAACCAUCUUAGCGGGAUUUAUAAGGUUGAAAAGGAAAGGCUUCUGUCCCUUAUUCAGUCCCUGGAUGUAAAAGCAGAAACCACGCUUCUGCCAGUCGCGGAGCUUCAUGCCAAGCUGGACGCGGAAUUGAGGCUGAAAGAACUUCUUAGGGAAGAAGAGUUGAAGUGGGCGUUGCGGGCCAAGGUCCGGAGAGUAGUCCAGGGGGACGCGAACACGGAAUUUUUUCACAUGAUUGCUAAUGGUAAGCAUCGAAAGAAGAGGAUCUUUCAGCUUGAGCAAGAUGAGGGUACAAUUGUAGGACAGGAGAACCUAAAAUUGUACAUUACUGAGUUCUAUAAGCAGUUGUUUGGCCCUUCAGAAAAUAACUGUGUGUCUCUGGAUGAGUCCAGGGUUGAGGAUGUUCCUCAGCUCACAGUGGUGGAGAAUGAUGUUCUGACGGCUCCUUUUACCGAGAAAGAGGUAUUUGAGGCCGUUUUACAAAUGGAAAAUAACAAAGCGUCGGGCCCAGAUGGAUUUCCAGCGGAGUUUUAUAAGAAAUGCUGGUUUAUCAUUAAAGGAGAUUUGUUGCCUUUGUUCAAUGAUCUGUUUGCUGGGCAGCUUCAUCUUUUUCAGCUAAAUUUUGGAACGAUCACCCUUCUUCCUAAGAAAACAGAGGCUGUGAGAAUUGAGCAAUUCAGGCCAAUCUGUCUUCUUAAUGUUAGUUUCAAAAUUUUCACCAAGGUCGGGACCAAUAGGCUCUCACAGAUCGCGCAUGCUGUUGUGCAGCCUACCCAAACUUCCUUCAUGCCGGACAGGAACAUCCUUGAGGGUGUUGUGGUCCUACAUGAAACGCUCCAUGAAAUCCACACGAAAAGCUGGAUGGGGUUGUUUUCAAAGUGAAUUUCGAAAAAGCGUAUGACAAAGUCAAAUGGCCUUUCCUUCAACAGGCUUUACGCAUGAAGGGUUUUGAUGAGGCCUGGCGACGCCAGGUAGAAUCCUUUACGCAAAAAGGUAGUGUUGGAAUUAAAGUAAAUGAUGAUAUAGGUCAUUAUUUCCAGACACACAAAGGCCUGAGGCAAGGAGAUCCAAUGUCCCCUAUAUUGUUCAACAUUGUAGUAGAUAUGUUGGCCAUUCUCAUAGGCAGGGCAAAGAACGCCGGUCAGGUAGGUGGCUUGGUGCCGAACCUAGUUGAGGGGGGUGUGUCCAUUUUGCAGUACGCUGAUGAUACAAUCAUCUUCAUGGAGCAUGACUUGGCAAAAGCGAGAAACAUGAAGCUGGUGUUGUGUUUAUUUGAACAAUUGUCCGGUUUAAAGAUUAACUUUCAUAAAAGCGAGUUGUUCUGCUUUGGUAGAGCCAAGGAGGAACAAGAGGCUUAUAGGCAAUUGUUUGGUUGUGAAUUAGGGGCUUUACCUUUUACUUACCUUGGUAUACCCAUUCAUCAUCGUAAGCUCACGAACAGAGAGUGGAAAUGUAUCGAAGAUCAGUUCGAAAAGAAACUUAGUUGCUGAAAGGGCAAACUUCUGUCUUAUGGAGGCCGGUUAAUUCUUAUUAACUCGGUGCUCACAAGUUUGCCGAUGUUCCUCCUAUCUUUCUUUGAGGUUCCAGUUGGGGUUAGGAAAAGGCUGGACUUCUAUCGGUCAAGAUUUUUUUGGCAGAGUGAUGAUCUUAAGAGAAAGUAUAGACUCGCCAAGUGGGAUAUUAUUUGUCGUCCUAAGGAUCAGGGGGGUUGGGUAUCAAGAAUCUUGAGGUCAAGAACAGAUGCCUGCUUAGUAAGUGGCUAUAUAAGUUAUCAGUUGGGACUGAUGCAACUUGGGCACAGAUUCUUAGUAACAAGUAUCUGCAAUCCAAAACUUUGUCACAGGUGACAGUGAGACCAACUGAUUCGCCAUUUUGGAAGGGUCUUAUGAGAGUUAAGGCAGCCUUCUUUAAUAGAACAAAGUUUAUUGUCGGCGAUGGUAACGAUACUCGCUUCUGGGAGGACACUUGGCUUGGUGAGACACCUUUGGCAUUACAGUACCCAACUCUGUAUCGUAUUGUGCAGCACCGUGAUGCGCUUGUGGCAACGAUUAUGCAGGCCACCCCCCUUAAUAUUCAGUUUAGGAGGGUGCUUGUUGGUAAUAGAUGGGAAGCUUGGCUUCAUCUGGUGCGUAGACUGAUGGAGGUUCAGCUACAGCAUCAGCCCGAUCAGUUGUGUUGGAAACUUACUAGGUCUGGAAAAUUUACCGUUAAAUCGAUGUUAUUAACUCGAGUGUCAUUCCUAACUCCAAACAUGUUUGGAAAGUCAAAGUUCCUUUGAAAAUCAAAGUGUUUAUGUGGUUUGUCCAUAAACAGGUCAUUCUAACAAAGGACAACUUGGUUAAGCACAAUUGGACAGGAUCUACUAGGUGUAGUUUUUGUGAUCGGGAUGAAACCAUCAAGCAUCUAUUCUUUGAGUGCCCGUUGGCAAGAAUUUUGUGGCGCUCCGUGCAAAUUGCUUUUAACAUUACUCCUCCGAGUUCGGCCGGGUCGUUAUUUGGAACGUGGCUGGAUGGGAUAGAGUCCGUUACAGCUAGACACAUUCGUGUAGGAGUUUGUGCGUUGUUAUGGGCAAUUUGGAACUGCAGAAAUGAUUUGGCUUUUAACAGAAUAACUACUAUUCAUUUUUUGCAGGUUGUAUUCCGUGCUACGGCAUUGAUUCGUAUGUGGUCCCUACUCACUCCGACGGAGGCCAGGGAGCGUUUGGUUACUGGAUCUGUCCGGUGGGAGAUGGUAGCGCGGGAUAUCUUCAACCGGUUUGGAUGGCGGUCAUGUAAUAGGAUAGGCAAUUAGUUUUCCUACCUUUAUUUCUGCCAGCCGGUUGUGGCUUUAUGGCCUUUUUUGUUUUCGUGUCGAGGUCUAUGUGAGCUCGACGUUGCUUUCUUUUACGACUAUUCGACAUUGUUGAACCUAUUUUAUUUAUCUAAGUGGCCGUAUGCAUCGACCUGAUGCAGAGGCCGGGGAGUCCCCCCUUUUCCAAAAAAAAAUGCCGAUAUUUUGCAUAUGACGUCACAUUACAUUGCAUGAUGUAGAUAAAUUGAUGUAUAAACAUGCAAACAUGCAUCCAAAUAUCGGAAUUGCAAUACUAAAUGGAACGAUACAAGCUUCAUUUAUAGGCGAACCAAGUAUCUACCACCGACAAGCUAUAAGGUCAACGUGUUUUUUCUUUAUUACCUAAAAAAACGAAUUCUUCUUUCUAUAGUCCAAUCCCUAUCCAUGGAACCAGUCAAAGGCGGCUUCCCAUGGUGAUUAGUAGCAGUAUUGACACAAUUUCAACAAAUAAAGUGAUUAAUAAUAAUAUAUUAUAUUAUAAUAGUGUCUGCCUAAGGCAUAUCGAAGUGACACAAUCAAGUAUAAGAAGGAAAAUAAAAAUAAAAAGGAAAAUACCCACACAAAUCUUCGUGUAAGAUCAAUGAAAUAGGACUUAGAUGUGCAAUACUUACGGCACAUCUAUAUAUGCUUUAGAAAACUGAUACUUUUGAGGUAUGUGUCACAAAAGUUAUAUCAUUCAAUUCAUAUUAAAAUAUACUAUACUAAAUCAGCGGCACUUAUUUUGGGACGGAGCGAGUAGUUUUCAAUAAUAGUAUAAUUUUCAUAACAUGUGAUAAUAUUAUUAUUGAUCAAAUUGAUGAUCAAUGUUUAACCAUGAAACUUUAAUGUCAAAGUUCUUUUGACAUGGUCAAAGUGUUUCUUCUUUAUUCUAUAAAAGGUUAUUUUUCUUUCUACAGUUUAAUGCAUAUAUCAAUACAAUCAGUCAAAGACAACUUUCCUACCUGUAGUGGUUGCUAUUGACUCCCUCUCCAUAAGGGAACUUGGAAAACAACGGCCUUUUCCGUGAAAAUCAAACUUGAAUAGACUUGACUUUAGUGGCCCAUAUAUAAUAAUCUCCACAUCAAGUGGAGCCACGAUACGAGAGAAAAUAUAUCCGUGUGUUUCCAUGCCGGUCACGUAUUUUGAGAUUUGAUUUUAACCAUUACUUAUUAGUUUAAUAAAAAUAAUAGGAUAUGAGUAAGAGAAUUAUAUCUUCACACCACUACGGAACAUGAUACCGGUGGCAGACGCAAAACAAGUACCAGUUGCGGUAGGCGCACGCUACUAGUAACCUACCAUUACCAUCGAUAAUACAACUAUCAGUGGCGUGCGGGCAUGAUAGGCCGCCACUUGUGAAAGACCCUAGCGGUGGUGAGCAUGUCUUCCCACCCAUUGGUAAGGCCGCCCAUGUCAAAUUAUGACGUUGUCGCGACAAUAUUCUUUUACUGUCCUGUCGAUAUUUUGCAUAUGACGUCACAUUACAUUGCAUGAUGUAGAUAAAUUGAUGUAUAAACAUACAAACAUGCAUCCAUAUAUCGGUUGCAAUACUACACGGAAAGAUACAUGCUUCAUUUAUAGGCGAACCAAAUAUCUACCACCGACAAGCUAUAAUGUCAACAUGUUUUUUCUUUAUUAUCUAAAAAAGUAUUCUUCUUUCUAUAGUCCAAUCCCUAUCCAUGGAACCUGUCAAAGGCGGCUUCCCAUGGUGAUUAGUAGCAGUAUUGACACAAUUUCAACAAAAAAAUUGAUUAACAAUAAUAUAUUACAUUGUAAUAGGGUCUGCCUAAGGCACAUCUAAGUGACUCAAUCAAGUAUAAGAAGGAAAAUAAAAAAUAAAAAAGGAAAAUACCCACACAAUCUCCGUGUAAGAUCAAUGAUAUAGGAUUUAGAUGUGCAAUACUUACGGCACAUCUAUAUAUGCUUUAGCAAAACUGCUCACUAGUAGAAAACGACCCAUUUAUCCGGUUUCAGAGGCCCUUUAGCCCUGGUUCUGGAACGGGGACUAAAACCCAAAACCUUUAGUCCCGGUUCGCUUACGAACCGGGACAAAAGGGGCUCCACGUGGCCGCUGCGGGGCGCGCAGGCAGGAGGACCUUUAGUCCCGGUUGGUAGGCAUCCAAGCGUCAGCAGCUGGCAGGAGCUGGGGUUUUUAUNNNNNNNNNNNNNNNNNNNNNNNNNNNNNNNNNNNNNNNNNNNNNNNNNNNNNNNNNNNNNNNNNNNNNNNNNNNNNNNNNNNNNNNNNNNNNNNNNNNNNNNNNNNNNNNNNNNNNNNNNNNNNNNNNNNNNNNNNNNNNNNNNNNNNNNNNNNNNNNNNNNNNNNNNNNNNNNNNNNNNNNNNNNNNNNNNNNNNNNNNNNNNNNNNNNNNNNNNNNNNNNNNNNNNNNNNNNNNNNNNNNNNNNNNNNNNNNNNNNNNNNNNNNNGGGGUUAGGGGGUUUUGGAGGAUUAAUUUAGGGGUUUCAUAUAUUGUGUUAGCUAGCUAAUAGAGAGAAGUGUCCUGUCUUUCUUCGUGCUUGGUCGAUGCUAGCUACUAUAUACAUAUAGAGAGAACUCGACAUGCUAGCUAGUAAGCAAAUGAAGGAACCAUUAAUUACACAAGAUCGUCAUGAACAUAUACAAAGAGGAGUGACCUCUCUUUCUCCGAGAGAUUGGUCGAACAACAAGUUUUCGUAUAUCUAUCUGACGCUACUAGCUACAUAUAUACAAUAUAAGAUCUCUUACAAUCCCUAACAUCUCAUGUCUAUAUCAAUUUCCACAUGGUAUUCUCCGGCUUUAUGUAUGACGUGGUCAAGAAAGAAUCCCGCCAAUUCCUCUUGAAUUGCUCGUAUGCGAUCAUGUGGUAGGAGUUCAUCCCGUAUCUGCCAGACCUAAUUUAAAGAAAGGGGUCAAUACAUAUAUGAAUGAAACUCAACAAAAAUGAUGGUACUAAAAUAAAAUUGUGAAUAUUAUUGUUUAUGUACUUCAUAUUGUUUUUCAGAGUAGCCCCGAUGAGAGGUCGCGUUGUAGAUGAAUUCGCAAACGUAGUAUCCAUAAAAAUCAUUUCCUGCAUCCUGCCACAAGCACUUUACGAGAAAUAGAGUUCAAUAAAACUGAUAAUCAACCAUGAUAAAUGGUAUUGAUGAAACUAGAAUCAAUGGGAGAUGCACGGAACUAGCUAGUAGUACUUACUUUCGGGUGUGUAAAUCGCAGCUCCCUCGGCAGCCCCGGAACAAUUCCGGUGAACUCUUUCCAAACCCUGCUAGACAAAGAAAAUAAUUACUUGAUGUCAGGAAAUGAACAACGUUGCCGAUAUGGUGCGAUAAUGAUCGAUUGAACUUACUUCUGGAGCAUUUCAGUCAUGUCCGCAUAGUCCUGGGGAUCUUUUCGUCUCGAGUCUAAGACAGUUACUACUCCUUGGUCAAGCUUAAUCUGUAGCAGAAUAAAGUGGAACCUACGCACACAUGCAUAACUCAUCAAUUACAUUACUAUAACCUCGAGUAAGGGAAACCGAAUAUGCACAAGUAACACUCACUUGAAGUUGUAAGGAAAGAGUAUUUUAUCUUUGUUUUGAUUUUUAAGCAACGAUUGUAGCAAGUUGUCCUCGGUAUCCGUGACUCUGUUUUUAACCGUCCAUUCAUGUAUGAUAUUUGGGUUAAUGAACUCAAUGUCAUAGAUUUGUGCUUUUCUGCAUUCGACGGUCUUCAAUCUGCAUAAUAUAGUGUGGAUAAUUAUAUAUACAUGCAAUGAAAGAGCUGAGCUAUAUAUAGAGACUUAAUUAUAGAAGUAGUACUUACAAACAGUAGCAAGUCACGAGUUGUUUGUCGAGGGCCUUUUGAUUGUAUAACUGGAAUAACUCCACAAAUUCAACAGGCAACAGCUCAGUUCCAAUGAGGUCGUACUCCUCUUUAAUUCUCGGCAUCAAACUAUCCUUCCCAGACUCGCUGCAGGUUUUCAUGUACCAUUUAUGCAAUCUUCGCAUCAUCGUUGUUAGAGGAGGAUGAUAGGUUUGACGAGAGGCUGCCCGUACUGGUAUCUGAAUUCGUCCACCGUCACAACAACAUAGCCAUGUGGAAUCGAACGACAGUGAAAAGUUCUGUCAGCUUGAGGAGGUGCAACAGAGCCGACAACCGCCUUCAAAGUCAGGUUCUGCCAUUUCAUCAUAAGCUUGCAAUGUUGAGCCUCCGUGAUAGUAUCCACGCGGUAGCGAGGAGCUGUGAAAUCAGGCUGAAUGAGCUCCGUGGAAGCCACACUGCUUCUCCGCUGAGAUGGUGGGGUAGCUUCUGGGGUAGCUUCGUGCCCCUGAGAUGGUUGGCAGGCAUCUGCAAGUUCCUCUAGCUUAGCUAUUCUUGCAUUGAGCUUCUGCAUUUUGCUCAGCUCCGCUUUCCUCUUUCUCUCACGGCUUCUGUAACCGCCUGAGUCGGGAAACCCAACCACCCACGGAACGGAGCCUGGUGUGCGUCGUGUUCGUCCAGGGUGCUCAGGAUUCCCGAGGGCCUCAGUUAGCUCGUCCUUCUCUCUAUCGGGAAUGAACGUCCCUUCCUGCGCUGCGGUGAUAUAAUCCUGAAGCUUUGAUACGUCUCCAACGUAUCUAUAAUUUUUGAUUGUUCCAUGCUACUAUAUUAUCUGUUUUGGAUGUUUAAUGGGCUUUAUUAUGCACUUUUAUAUUACUUUUGGGACUAACCUACUAACCCAAGGCCCAGUGCAAAUUGCUGUUUUUUGCCUAUUUCAGUGUUUCGCAGAAAAGGAAUAUCAAACGGAAUCCAAAUGGAAUGAAACCUUCGGGGGAGUUAUUUUUGGAACAAACACAAUCCAGGAGACUUGGAGUGGACGUCAAGGAAGCAACAAGGCGGCCACGAGAUAGGGAGGCGCGCCCAGGGGGUAGGCGCGCGCCCCACCCUCGUGGGCCCCUCGUGGCUCCACCACCUACUUCUUUCUCCUAUAUACACUCAUAUACCCUGAAAACAUCCGAGAGCACCACAAGACCCAAUUUCCACCGCCGCAACCUUCUGUACCCGUGAGAUCCCGUCUUGGGGCCUUUUCCGGUGCUCCGCCGGAGGGGGAAUCGAUCACGGAGGGCUUCUACAUCAACACCAUAGCCUCUCCGAUGAUGUGUGAGUAGUUUACCACAGACCUUCGGGUCCAUAGUUAUUAGCUAGAUGGCUUCUUCUCUCUCUUUGGAUCUCAAUACAAAGUUCUCCUCGAUCUUCUUGGAGAUCUAUUCGAUGUAAUUCUUUUUGUGGUGUGUUUGUCGAGAUCCGAUGAAUUGCGGGUUUAUGAUCAAGAUUAUCUAUGAACAAUAUUUGGUUCUUGUCUGAAUUCUUAUAUGUAUGAUGUGAUAUCUUUGCAAGUCUCUUCGAAUUAUCAGUUUGGUUUGGCCUACUAGAUUGAUCUUUCUUGCAAUGGGAGAAGUGCUUAGCUUUGGGCUCAAUCUUGCGGUGUCCUUUCCCAGUGACAACAGGGAAAGCAAGGCACGUAUUGUAUUGUUGCCAUCGAGGAUAAAAAGAUGGGGUUUAUAUCAUAUUGCUUGAGUUUAUCCCUCUACAUCAUGUCAUCUUGCCUAAUGCGUUACUCUGUUCUUAUGAACUUAAUACUCUAGAUGCAUGCUGGAUAGCGGUCGAUGUGUGGAGUAAUAGUAGUAGAUGCAGAAUCGUUUUGGUCUACUUGUCGCGGACGUGAUGCCUAUAUACAUGAUCAUGCCUAGAUAUUCUCAUAACUAUGCGCUUUUCUAUCAAUUGCUCGACAGUAAUUUGUUCACCCACCGUAGAUUAUGCUAUCUUGAGAGAAGCCACUAGUGAAACCUAUGGCCCCCGGGUCUAUCUUCCAUCAUAUUAUUUUCCUAUCAAUUUGCUAUUUCUGCCACCAUUUAUUUUGCAAUCUUUACUUUCCAAUCUAUACAACAAAAAUACCAAAAAUAUUUAUCUUAUUAUCUUUAUCAGAUCUCACUUUUGCAAGUGGUCGUGAAGGGAUUGACAACCCCUUUAUCGCGUUGGUUGCGAGGUUAUUAUUUGUUUGUGCAGGUACAAGGCGACUUGCGUGUAACCUCCUACUGGAUUGAUACCUUGGUUCUCAAAACCCGAGGGAAAUACUUACGCUACUUUGCUGCAUCACCCUUUCCUCUUCAAGGGAAAACCAACGCAUGCUCAAGAGGUAGCAAGAAGGAUUUCUGGCUGUUGCCGGGGAGGCUUACGCCAAGUCAAGUCAAGAUUUGAUCUCCCAGCAACUAGCCAUUUCUGGCACCGUUGCCGGGGAGAUCUACGCACAAGUCAAGACAUACCAAGUACCCAUCACAAACUCUUAUCCCUCGCAUUACAUUAUUUGCCAUUUGCCUCUCGUUUUCCUCUCCCCCACUUCACCUUUGCCUUUUCUUCGCCUUCUUCCCGUAUGUAUCUUUGUUUGUGUUGUUGGAAAUAUGCCCUAGAGGCAAUAAUAAAUAGGUUAUUAUUAUAUUUCCUUGUUCAUGAUAAUCGUUUAUUAUCCAUGCUAGAAUUGUAUUGAUAGGAAACUCAGAUACAUGUGUGGAUACAUAGACAACACCAUGUCCCUAGUAAGCCUCUAGUUGACUAGCUCGUUGAUCAAUAGAUGGUUAUGGUUUCCUGACCAUGGACAUUGGAUGUCGUUGAUAACGGGAUCACAUCAUUAGGAGAAUGAUGUGAUGGACGAGACCCAAUCCUAAGCCUAGCAUGAGAUCGUGUAGUUCGUUUGCUCAGAGCUUUUCUAAUGUCAAGUAUCAUUUCCUUAGACCAUGAGAUUGUGCAACUCCCGGAUACCGUAGGAAUGCUUUGGGUGUACCAAACGUCACAACGUAACUGGGUGGCUAUAAAGGUGCACCACAGGUAUCUCCGAAAGUGUCUGUUGGGUUGGCACGAAUCGAGACUGGGAUUUGUCACUCCGUGUAAACGGAGAGGUAUCUCUGGGCCCACUCGGUAGGACAUCAUCAUAAUGUGCACAAUGUGACCAAGGAGUUGAUCACGAGAUGAUGUGAGUUACGGAACGAGUAAAGAGACUUGCCAAUAACAAGAUUGAACAAGGUAUAGGGAUACCGACGAUCGAAUCUCGGGCAAGUAACAUACCGAUAGACAAAGGGAUUUGUAUACGGGAUUGAUUGAAUCCCCGACAUCGUGGUUCAUCCGAUGAGAUCAUCGUGGAACAUGUGGGAGCCAACAUGGGUAUCCAGAUCCUGCUGUUGGUUAUUGACCGGAGAACGUCUCGGUCAUGUCUGCAUGGUUCCCGAACCCGUAGGGUCUACACACUUAAGGUUCGAUGACGCUAGGGUUAUAGGGAAAGUAUGUACGUGGUUACCGAAUGUUGUUCAGAGUCCCGGAUGAGAUCCCGGACGUCACAAGGAGUUCCGGAAUGGUCCGGAGGUAAAGAUUUAUAUAUGGGAAGUCCUGUUUUGGUCGCUGGAAAAGUUUCGGAUGUUAUCGGUAAUGUACCGGGACCACCGGGAGGGUCCCGGGGGUCCACCAAGUGGGGCCACCAGCCCCAGAAGGCUGCGUGGGCCAAGUGUGGGAGGGGACCAGCCCCAGGUGGGCUGGUGCGCCCCCACGAAGGCCCAAGGCGCAUGGGAGAGUGGGAGGGGGCAAACCCUAGGUCCAGAUGGGCCUUAAGGCCCACCCUAGUGGCGCCCCCUCUCCCCCCUCUUGGCCGCCACCCUAGAUGGGAUUGGGGCUGCCGCCACCCCUGGGGAGGGAACCCUAGGUGGGGGCGCAGCCCUCCCUCUUCCCCUAUAUAUAGUGGAGGCAAAGGGGCAGCCCAACACACGAGAACGUCUCUCUUUCGGCGCAGCCAUACCCCUCUCCCUCCUCCUCCUCUCCCGCGGUGCUUGGCGAAGCCCUGCGGGAUUGCCACGCUCCUCCAUCACCACCAUGCCAUUGUGCUGCUGCUGGACGGAGUCUUCCCCAACCUCUCCCUCUCUCCUUGCUGGAUCAAGGCGUGGGAGACGUCACCGGGCUGCACGUGUGUUGAACGCGGAGGCACCGUUCUUCGGUGCUCAGAUCGGAAUCAACCGCGAUCUGAAUCGCUACGAGUAUGACUCCCUCAUCCGCGUUCUUGCAAUGCUUCCGCAUCGCGAUCUACAAUGGUAUGUAGAUGCACUCCCCUUCCCCUCGUUGCUAUAUUACUCCAUAGAUUGAUCUUGGUGAUGCAUAGAAAAUUUUGAAUUUCUGCUACGUUCCCCAACAGUGGUAUCAGAGCUAGGUCUAUGCGUAGUUUCUAUGCACGAAUAGAACACAAAGUAGUUGUGGGCGUAGAUGUUGCCAAUUCUUCUUGCCGCUACUAGUCUUAUCUUGUUUCGGCGGCAUUGUGGGAUGAAGCGUCCCGGACCGACCUUACACGUACGCUUACGUGAGACAGGUUCCACCGACUGACAUGCACCAGUUGCAUAAGGUGGCUAGCGGGUGUCUGUCUCUCCCACUUUAGUCGGAACGGAUUCGAUGAAAAGGGUCCUUAUGAAGGGUAAAUAGAAAUUGGCAUAUCACGUUGUGGUUUUACGUAGGUAAGAAACGUUCUUGCUAGAAACCUAUACAAGCCACGUAAAAACUUGCAACAACAAUUAGAGGACGUCUAACUUGUUUUUGCAGCAUGUGCUAUGUGAUGUGAUAUGGCCAGAAGAUGUGAUGAAUGAUAUAUGUGAUGUAUGAGAUUGAUCAUAUUCUUGUAAUAGGAAUCACGACUUGCAUGUCGAUGAGUAUGACAACCGGCAGGAGCCAUAGGAGUUGUCUUUAUUUUUUGUAUGACCUGCGUGUCAUUGAAUAACGCCAUGUAAAUUACUUUACUUUAUUGCUAAGCGCGUUAUCCAUAGAAGUAGAAGUAAUCGUUGGCGUGACAACUUCAUAAAGACACAAUGAUGGAGAUCAUGGUGUCAUGCCGGUGACGAAGAUGAUCAUGGUGCCCCGAAGAUGGAGAUCAAAGGAGCAAAAUGAUAUUGGCCAUAUCAUGUCACUAUUUGAUUGCAUGUGAUGUUUAUCAUGUUAUGCAUCUUAUUUGCUUAGAACGACGGUAGCAUAAAUAAGAUGAUCCCUCACUAAAAAAUUUCAAGAGACGUGUUCCCCCUAACUGUGCACCGUUGCGAAGGUUCGUUGUUUCGAAGCACCAUGUGAUGAUCGGGUGUGAUAGAUUCUAACGUUCGAAUACAACGGGUGUUGACGAGCCUAGCAUGUACAGACAUGGCCUCGGAACACAUGCGAAACACUUAGGUUGACUUGACGAGCCUAGCAUGUACAGACAUGGCCUCAGAACACAAGAGAUCGAAAGGUCGAGCAUGAGUCGUAUAGAAGAUACGAUCAACAUGGAGAUGUUCACCGAUGAUGACUAGUCCGUCUCACGUGAUGAUCGGACACGGCCUAGUUUGACUCGGAUCAUGUAUCACUUAGAUGACUAGAGGGAUGUCUAUCUGAGUGGGAGUUCAUUAAAUAAUCAGAUGAACUUCAUUAUCAUGAACAUAGUCAAAAAGGUCUUUGCAAAUUAUGUCAUAGCUUGCGCUUUAGUUCUACUGUUUAAGAUAUGUUCCUAGAGAAAAUUUAGUUGAAAGUUGGUAGUAGCAAUUAUGCGGACUGGGUCCGUGAACUGAGGAUUGUCCUCAUUGCUGCAUAGAAGGCUUAUGUCCUUAAUGCACCGCUCGGUGUGCUGAACCUCAGCGUCAUCUGUAGAUGUUGCGAAACAUCUAACAUACACGUUUUGAUGACUACGUGAUAGUUCAGUGAGUAAUGCUAACGGUUUAGAAUUGUGGCACGAGAGACGUUCUUUGAAAUGUCGCAGAACAUAUGAGAUGUUCCGAAGACUGAAAUUGGGAUUUCAGACUAGUGCCCACGUCAAGAGGUAUGAGACCUCUGACAAGUUUCUUAAACCUGUAAACUAAGGGAGAAAAGCUCAAUCGUUGAGCAUGUGCUCAGAUUGUCUGAGUACUACAAUCACUUGAAUCGAGUGGGAGUUAAUCUUCCAGAUGAGAUAGUGAUGGGUCUCCAUAAUCACUGCCACCAAGCUAUUAGAGCUUCGUGAUGAACUAUAAAUAUCAAGGAUAGAUGAUGAUCCUUGAGCAACUUGCGUUGUUUGACACCGCGAAAGUAGAAAUCAAGAAGGAGCAUCAAUUAUUGAUGGUUAGUAAAACCACUAGUUUCUAGAAGGGCAAGGGCAAAAGGGACACUUCAUGAAACAACAAAUCGUUUGCUGCUCUAGUGAAGAAUCCCAAGGUUGAACCCAAACCCGAGACUGAGUGCUUCUGUAAUGAGGGGAACGGUCAUUGAAGCAGUACUACCCUAGAUACUUGGUAGAUGAGAAGGCAGGCAAGGUCGACAGAAGUAUAUUGGAUAUACAUGUAUACUUUACUAGUACUCCUAGUAGCACCAGGGUAUUAGAUACCGGUUCGGUUGCUAAGUGUUAGUAACUCAAAAUAAAAGCUGCGGAAUAAACGGAGACUAGCUAAAGGUGAGAUGACGAUAUGUGUUGGAAGUGUUUCCAAGGUUGAUGUGAUCAAGCAUCGCAUGCUCCCUCUACCAUCGAGAUUUGGUGUUUGCGUUGAGCAUGAUUGGAUUAUGUUUAUCACAAUACGGUUAUUCAUUUAAGGAGAAUAAUGGUUACUCUAUUUAUUUGAAUAAUACCUUCAAUGGUCUUGCACCUAAAAUGAAUCUCGAUCGUAGUGAUACACAUGUUCGUGCCAAAAGAUAUAAAAUAGUAAUGAUAGUUCCACAUACCUGUGGCACUGCCAUUUGAGUCAUAUUGGUAUAGAACGCAUGAAGAAGCUCCAUGUAGAUGGACCUUUGGACUCACUUGUUUUUGAAAAGAUUGAGACAUGCGAACCAUGUCUAUUGGUAUAUAUGCAUGAAGAAACUCCAUGCAGAUGGAUCGUUUGGACUCACUUGACUUUGAAUCACUUGAGACAUGCAAAUCAUACCACAUGGGCAAGAUGACUGAAAGGCCUCGUUUUCAGUAAGAUGGAACAAGAGAGCAACUUGUUGGAAGUAAUACAUUUUGAUGUAUGCAGUCCAAUGAGUGCUGAGGCAUGCAGUGGAUAUCGUUAUGUUCUUACUUCACAGAUGAUUUGAGUAGAUGCUGGGUGUAUUUACUUGGUGAAACACAAGUUUGAAUUAUUGAAAGGUUCAAGUAAUUUCAGAGUGAAGUUGAAGAUCGUCGUGACAAGAGGAUAAAAUGUCUGUGAUAUGAUCAUAGAGAUGAGUAUCUAAGUUACGAGUUUGGCACACAAUUAAGACAUUGUGGAAAUUGUUUCAACAAUUAAUACCGCCUAGAACACCACAGUGUAGUGGUGUGUCCGAACAUCAUAACUGCACCCUAUUGGAUAUGGUGCAUACCAUGAUGUCUCUUAUCGAAUUACCACUAUCAUUUAUGGGUUAGGCAUUAGAGACAACCGCAUUCACUUUAAAAGGGGCACCACGCAAUUCCGUUGAGACGACACCGUUUAGAGAAACCUAAGUUGUCGUUUCUUAAAAGUUUGGGGCUGCGACGCUUAUGUGAAAAAGUUUCAGGCUGAUAAGCUCGAACCCAAAGCGGAUAAAUGCAUCUUCAUAGAAUACCCAAAACAGUUGGGUAUACCUCCUAUUUCAGAUCUGGAAGCAAAAGUAAUUGCUUCUAGAAACGAGUCCUUUCUCGAGGAAAAGUUUCUCUCGAAAGAAUUGAGUGGGAGGAUGGUGGAGACUUGAUAAGGUUAUUGAACCGUCACUUCAACUAGUGUGUAGCAGGGCACAUGAAGUUGUUCCUGUGGCACCUACACCAAUUGAAGUGGAAGCUUAUGAUAGUGAUCAUGAAACUUCGGAUCAAGUCACUACCAAACCUCGUAGGACGACGAGGAUGCGUGCUACUUCAGAGUGGUACGUGAUCCUGUCUGAGAUAUCAUGUUGUUGGACAAUACUGAACCUACGAGCUAUGGAGAAGCGAUGGUGGGCCCAUAUUCCGACAAAUGGUUAGAAGCCAUGAAAUCCGAGAUAAAUGGAUCUUUGAGAAGAAGACGGACGUGGACGGUAAUGUUACCGUCUAUGAAGCUCGACUUGUGGCAAAGAGUAUUUCCACAAGUUCAAGGAGUUGACUACGAUGAGAUUUUCUCAUCCGUAGCGAUGCUUAAGUCCAUCGGAAUCAUGUUAGCAUUAGCUGCAUUUAUGAAAUCUGGUAGAUGGAUGUCAAAACAAGUUUCCUUACCAGUUUUCGUAAGGAAAGGUUGUAUGUGAUACAAUCAGAAAGGUUUUGUCGAUCCUAAGGAUGCUAAAAGGUAUGCUAGCUCCAGCGAUCCUUCCAUGGACUAGAGCAAGCAUCUCGGAGUCAGAAUAUAUGCUUUGAUGGAGUGAUCAAAGUUUUUGGGUUUAUACAAAGUUUGUUAGAAACUUGUAUUUCCAAUAAAGUGAGUGGGAGCGCUACAACAUUUCUGAUAAGUAUAUGUGAAUGACAUAUUGUUGAUCCGAAAUGAUGUAAAAUUUCUAGAAAGCAUAAAGGGUUGUUUGAAAGGAGUCUUUCAAAGGAAGACCUGGAUAAAGCUGAUUACAUAUUGGGCAUCAAGAUCUAUAGAGAUAGAUCAAGACGCCUGAUGAUACUUUCAAAGAACGCACACCUUGACAUGAUUUUGAAAGAGUUCAAAAUAGAUCAGCAAAGAAGGAGUUCUUGGCUGUGUUACAAGGUGUGAGUAUUGAGUAAGACUCAAGACCUGACCACAGCAGAAGAGAGAGAAAGGACGAAGGUCGUCCCCUAUGCUUUAGACGUAGGCUCUACAGUAUGCUAUGCUGUGUACCGCACAUGAAGUGUGCCUUGCCAUGAGUUGGUCAAGGGGUACAAUAGUGAUCCGGGAAUGGAUCACAUGACAGCGGUCGAACUUAUCCUUAGUAUCUAGUUGACUAAGGAAUUUUCUUGAUUAUGGAGGUGAAAAGGAGUUCGUCGUAAAGGGUUACGUCGAUGCGAACUUUGACACUAAUCCGGAUGACUCUGAGUAGUAAACCGGAUUCGUAUAGUAGAGCAAUUAUUUGAAAUGGCUCCAAAUAGCGCGUGGUAGCAUCCACAAGAUGACAUAGAUAUUCGUAAAGCACACACGGAUCUGAAAGGUUUAGACCCGUUGACUAAUAACCUCUCUCACAAGCAUAACAUGAUCAAACCAGAACACAUUGAGUGUUAAUCACAUAGUGAUGUGAACUAGAUUGUUGACUCUAGUGAACUCUUUGAUGUUGGUCACAUGGUGAUGUGACCUAUGAGUGUUAAUCACAUGGCGAUGUGAACUAGAUUAUUGACUCUAGUGCAAGUGGGAGACUGUUGGAAAUAUGCCCUAGAGGCAAUAAUAAAUAGGUUAUUAUUAUAUUUCCUUGUUCAUGAUAAUCGUUUAUUAUCCAUGCUAGAAUUGUAUUGAUAGGAAACUCAGAUACAUGUGUGGAUACAUAGACAACACCAUGUCCCUAGUAAGCCUCUAGUUGACUAGCUCGUUGAUCAAUAGAUGGUUAUGGUUUCCUGACCAUGGACAUUGGAUGUCGUUGAUAACGGGAUCACAUCAUUAGGAGAAUGAUGUGAUGGACGAGACCCAAUCCUAAGCCUAGCAUGAGAUCGUGUAGUUCGUUUGCUCAGAGCUUUUCUAAUGUCAAGUAUCAUUUCCUUAGACCAUGAGAUUGUGCAACUCCCGGAUACCGUAGGAAUGCUUUGGGUGUACCAAACGUCACAACGUAACUGGGUGGCUAUAAAGGUGCACCACAGGUAUCUCCGAAAGUGUCUGUUGGGUUGGCACGAAUCGAGACUGGGAUUUGUCACUCCGUGUAAACGGAGAGGUAUCUCUGGGCCCACUCGGUAGGACAUCAUCAUAAUGUGCACAAUGUGACCAAGGAGUUGAUCACGGGAUGAUGUGAGUUACGGAACGAGUAAAGAGACUUGCCAAUAACAAGAUUGAACAAGGUAUAGGGAUACCGACGAUCGAAUCUCGGGCAAGUAACAUACCGAUAGACAAAGGGAUUUGUAUACGGGAUUGAUUGAAUCCCCGACAUCGUGGUUCAUCCGAUGAGAUCAUCGUGGAACAUGUGGGAGCCAACAUGGGUAUCCAGAUCCCGCUGUUGGUUAUUGACCAGAGAACGUCUCGGUCAUGUCUGCAUGGUUCCCGAACCCGUAGGGUCUACACACUUAAGGUUCGAUGACGCUAGGGUUAUAGGGAAAGUAUGUACGUGGUUACCGAAUGUUGUUCGGAGUCCCGGAUGAUAUCCCGGACGUCACGAGGAGUUUCGGAAUGGUCCGGAGUAAAGAUUUAUAUAUGGGAAGUCCUGUUUUGGUCACAGGAAAAGUUUCGGAUGUUAUCGGUAAUGUACCGGGACCACCGGGAGGGUCCCGGGGGUCCACCAAGUGGGGCCACCAGCCCCAGAAGGCUGCGUGGGCAAGUGUGGGAGGGGACCAGCCCCAGGUGGGCUGGUGCACCCCCCCAUGAAGGCCCAAGGCGCAUGGGAGAGUGGGAGGGGGCAAACCCUAGGUCCAGAUGGGCCUUAAGGCCCACCCUAGUUGCGCCCCCCUCUCCCCCCUCUUGGCCGCCACCCUAGAUGGGAUUGGGGCUGCCGCCACCCCUGGGGAGGGAACCCUAGGUGGGGGCGCAGCCCUCCCUCUUCCCCUAUAUAUAGUGGAGGCAAAGGGGCAGCCCAACACACGAGAACGUCUCUCUUUCGGCGCAGCCAUACCCCUCUCCCUCCUCCUCCUCUCCCGCGGUGCUUGGCGAAGCCCUGCGGGAUUGCCACGCUCCUCCAUCACCACCAUGCCGUUGUGCUGCUACUGGACGGAGCCUUCCCCAACCUCUCCCUCUCUCCUUGCUGGAUCAAGGCGUGGGAGACGUCACCGGGCUGUACGUGUGUUGAACGCGGAGGCACCGUUCUUCGGUGCUCAGAUCGGAAUCAACCGCGAUCUGAAUCGCUACGAGUACGACUCCCUCAUCCGCGUUCUUGCAACGCUUCCGCAUCGCGAUCUACAAUGGUAUGUAGAUGCACUCCCCUUCCCCUCGUUGCUAGAUUACUCCAUAGAUUGAUCUUGGUGAUGCGUAGAAAAUUUUGAAUUUCUGCUACGUUCCCCAACAUGUGUUUCCAUGUGCCUUCUAUUUUCUUGCAUCUUUGCUUGCUAAAAAUCUAUUGAUAUGGAUCCACUUAAAGUGUUCUACUUGGAUCAUCUUCGAUCCUUAUGUGCUCGUGCUGAAACCCCAACUAGCCUAGUUGAUGGGAAAUCUUUAGAUGAGCAUGCUCAUUUUGUGCGUCAUCGUUUGUCUGAAAAAGGGAGACUCUUAUGGGAUCAAAUAAACAGAUUGCUGUGUUAUGCUUGGAAUCUUUGUGAAAUUUAUGAUUUUACUUGUUGCUCUAAGAACCCUAAAAAACACCUCCCCUACCUAUGUGAGUUUAAUGAUAAUGAAAUCUUAUCUUCUUAUGCAAAGGGUGUUUAUAGUUACUACGAUAUCGAACAAACUGAAGAAUUUGUUGCUUUUAAGGGUGCUUAUGAAGUUGCUUCUUUGAUUGAAAAGUAUGAUAUUACUCUCUACGAAUCUGAAAAUUUUGACAUACUUAAAUAUUGCUAUGAAAACUAUGCUCAUAAUGUCCAUGUCAAAGAAUUUAUUGAAAGAAUGACCAUUGCUUCUGAAGAAAAUAAUGAUAUGCAUGAUCUAUAGAUAAUUAUGAUUCCGAUGAUUUGAUUGAAAUAUCCCUUGAUGAACAUGAUGCUUGCUAUUCUUGUGGUCAUGAUGCCAAUAUUUAUGAAGAUGAAUUUGCUAUAGUUCCUUAUGUUAAACAUGAGAUCGUUGCUAUUGCACCCAUACUUGAUAUUUCCUUCGACAAAAAGCAUGAUUGCAAUGAUGUUAUUAUAAAUUCUCUUAAUGUCAAUUGUGUUAAUGAUAUGCAAAACCUCAAGCUUGGGGAUGCUAGUUUUGCUAUGACUACUAUUUGUUGCAAUGAUCAUGAUUGGGGUGAUUCUUCUUAUGAUCUUGAAAAUUUAUUUAAGCCCCAUGAUGAAUAUGAGAUUGAUAAUAAUGUUUGCAAUAAUAUAGAAAGUGGGUUUGGAAGAGUGUCAACUUUAGAUCCCACAUAUUUGGAGAAUUUUCAAUCUUAUGAAGUUUUUGAUAAAAGUGGGUUUGGAGAGGUCAUGACUUUAGUUAAUGUUAAUCCCACUAUUUUGGAAGAGUGUCAACUUUGCAUACAUGUGGAUCGUGUUAAGAAUAUGUUUUGUGAUAGCUAUAUUGUUGAAUUUGCUUAUGAUCCUACAUGUAAUUAUUAUGAGAGAGGAAAAUAUGGUUGUAGAAAUUUCCAUGUCACUAAAUUUUCUCUCGUUAUGUUGAGAUUGCUAUUGUUUCUUUCUUCUUCCUUCCAUAUGCUAGAUCUUGCUAAUUUGUUUUCCUAUAAAGUGCCUAUGCAUAGGAAGUAUGUUAGACUUAGAUGUGUUUGUCACGUGUUUCAUGAUGCUCUCUUUGCGCUUCAAUUCUUGUCUUUCAUGUGAGCAUCAUCGAAAUCUCAAUGCCUAGCUUAGGGCGUUAAACGAUAGCGCUUGUUGGGAGGCAACCCAAUUUUAUUUUUGUUCCUUGCUUUUUGUUCCUGUUUAGUAAUAAAUAAUUCAUCUAGCCUCUGGUUAGAUGUGGUUUUAUGUUUUAAUUAGUGUUUGUGCCAAGUAAAACCUGUAGGAUCUUCUUGGGUGAUAAUUAUUUGAUCUUGCUGAAAAAAACAGAAACUUUAUGCUCACGAAAACAAUUGUUAAAAAUCACCAUAAAGUGAUAACAUACUGAUUCAAAUUGCAGUAGAUCAAUAAACAAAUUAUCUAGGUCUUCCUAUUUUUGCAGAUUUUUUGAGUUACAGAAGUGUGCAUUUGAUACAGAUUACUACAGACUGUUCUAUUUUUACAGAUUCUGUUUUUCGUGUGUUGUUUGCUUAUUUUGAUGAAUCUAUGGCUAGUAUCGGGGGGUAUGAACCAUAGAGAAGUUGGAAUACAGUAGUUUAACACCAAUAUAAAUAAAGAAUGAGUUCAUUACAGUACCUUAAUGUGGUGGUUUGUUUUCUUACACUAGCGGAGCUCAUGAGAUUUUCUGUUGAGUUUUGUGUUGUGAAGUUUUCAAGUUUUGGGUAAAGAUUUGAUGGAUUAUGGAAUAAGGAGUGGCAAGAGCCUAAGCUUGGGGAUGCCCAAGGCAUCCCAAGGUAAAAUUCAAGGAUAACCAAAAGCCUAAGCUUGGGGAUGCCCCGGAAGGCAUCCCCUCUUUCGUCUUCGUCUAUCGGUAACUUUACUUGAGGCUAUAUUUUUAUUCACCACAUGAUAUGUGUUUUGCUUGGAGCGUCUUGUAUGAUUUGAGUCUUUGCUUUUUAGUUUACCACAAUCAUCCUUUCUGUACACACCUUUUGGAGAGACACACAUGAAUCGGAAUUUAUUAGAAUACUCUUUGUGCUUCACUUAUAUCUUUUGAGCUAAGAUAAUUUUGCUCUAGUGCUUCGCUUAUAUCUUUUAGAGCACGGUGGUGGUUUUAUUUUAUAGAAAUUAUUGAUCUCUCAUGCUUCACUUAUAUUAUUUUGGGAGUCCUUUAGAACAGCAUGGUAAUUUGCUUUGGCUAUAAAAUUAGUCCUAAUAUUAUAGGCAUCCAAUAUGGGUAUAAUAAAAAGUUUCAUAUAAAGCGCAUUGAAUACUAUGAGAAGUUUGAUACUUGAUGAUUGUUUUGAGAUAGGAAGAUGGUGAUAUUAGAGUCAUGCUAGUAGAGUAGUUGUGAAUUUGAUAAAUACUUGUGUUGAGGUUUGCAAGUCCCGUAGCAUUCACGUUGAUACGUCUCCGUCGUAUCUACUUUUCCAAACACUUUUGCCCUUGUUUUGGACUCUAACUUGCAUGAUAUGAAUGGAACUAACCCGGACUGACGCUGUUUUCAACAGACUUUCCAUGGUGUUAUUUAUGUGCAGAAACAAACGUUCUCGGAAUGACUUGAAACUCCACGGAACUUAUUUUUUGAAAAUAUAAAAAAUACUGGAAGAAGAAUCCACGUCAGGGGGGCCUCCACCUGUCCACGAGGGUGGGGGGCGCGCGCCCCUGCCUCAUGGGCCCCCUGACGCUCCACCGACCUCAACUCCAACUCCAUAUAUUCAUGUUCGGGGAGAAAAAAAUCAGAGAGAAGGAUUCAUCGCGUUUUACGAUACGGAGCCGCCGCCAAGCCCUAAAACCUCUCGGGAGGGCUGAUCUGGAGUCCAUUCGGGGCUCCGGAGAGGGGAAUCCGUCGCCGUCGUCAUCAUCAACCAUCCUCCAUCACCAAUUUCAUGAUGCUCACCGCUGUGCGUGAGUAAUUCCAUCGUAGGCUUGCUGGACGGUGAUGGGUUGGAUGAGAUUUAUCAUGUAAUCGAGUUAGUUUUGUUAGGUUUUGAUCCCUAGUAUCCACUAUGUUCUGAGAUUGAUGUUGCGAUGACUUUGCUAUGCUUAAUGCUUGUCACUAGGGCCCGAGUGCCAUGAUUUCAGAUCUCAACCUAUUAUGUUUUCAUGAAUAUAUGUGAGUUCUUGAUCCUAUCUUGCAAGUCUAUAGUCACCUACUAUGUGUUAUGAUCCGGCAACCCCGAAGUGACAAUAAUCGGGACCACUCCCGGUGAUGACCAUAGUUUGAGGAGUUCGUGUAUUCACUAUGUGUUAAUGCUUUGGUCCGGUACUCUAUUAAAAGGAGGCCUUAAUAUCCCUUAGUUUCCGUUAGGACCCCGCUGCCACGGGAGGGUAGGACAAAAGAUGUCAUGCAAGGUCUUUUCCAUAAGCACGUAUGACUAUAUUCGGAAUACAUGCCUACAUUAUAUUGAUGAAUUGGAGCUAGUUCUGUGUCACCCUAUGUUAUGACUGUUACAUGAUGAACCGCAUCCGGCAUAAUUCUCCAUCACCGAUCCAAUGCCUACGAGCUUUUCACAUAUUGUUCUUCACUUAUUUACUUUUCCGUUGCUACUGUUACAAUCGUCACAAAACCCAAAAAUAUUACUUUUGCUACUGCUACCGUUACUUCCAUAUUACUUUGCUACUAAAUACUUUGCUGCAGAUACUAAGUUAUCCAGGUGUGGUUGAAUUGACAACUCCACUGCUAAUACUUGAGAAUAUUCUUUGGCUCCCCUUGUGUCGAAUCAAUAAAUUUGGGUUGAAUACUCUACCCUCGAAAACUGUUGCGAUCCCCUAUACUUGUGGGUUAUCAAGACUAUUUUCUGGCGCCGUUGCCGGGGAGCAUAGCUCUAUUCUUUGAGUCACUUGGGAUUUAUAUCUGCUGGUCACUAUGAAGAACUUGAAAGACGUGAAAACAAAAAUUUAUCCCUCAACUACGAGAGGAGGUAAGGAACUGCCAUCUAGCUCUGCACUUGAUUCACCCUCUGUUUUGAGUAAGCUUGCGACACCUAAACCUGCUUCUGCUAUUAAUUCUGAUAUGUCGCAUGUUAUUGAUGAUGCCACUUCUGCUAUGCAUGAUACUUAUGAUGAAACUACUUCUAUGCUUGAUACUACUGUGCCACUUGGUGAAUUUCUUGAUGAACAACUUGCUAGGGCUAGAGAGAAUGAAAUUAUUGAAACUGAUAAUAUUGAUGAUAGUGAUGAUGAAGACUCUCCCCCUAAUAAAUAUGAAUUACCUGUUGUUCCUGAGGGUUAUGUUAUGGAUGAAGAAGCUGCUAGAGCUAUUUUAGCUUGCAAUGAUAGAUAUGAUCUUAAGAAGUUAUUAGCUAAAUGGAAGCAACAAUCUCUUAAUGCUAGAAUGAAACCUGACCCUGCUUUUGCUACUUCACCUAUCUGUGUUACUGAUAAGGAUUAUGAAUUCUCUGUUGAUCCUGAUAUAAUUACUUUGGUUGAAUCUGAUCCUUUUUAUGGCUAUGAAUCUGAAACUGUUGUGGCACAUCUUACUAAAUUAAAUGAUAUAGCCACCCUAUUCACUAAUGAUGAGAGAACUCGUUACUUUUAUAUCCUUAAAAUAUUUCCGUUCUCAUUAAAGGGUGAUGCUAAGAUAUGGUUUAAUUCUCUUGAUCCUGGUUGUGUGCGUAGUCCCCAGGAUAUGAUUUAUUACUUCUCUGCUAAAUAUUUCCCUGCUCAUAAGAAACAAGCUGCUUUAAGGGAUAUAUAUAAUUUUGUGCAAAUUGAAGAAGAGAGUCUCCCACAAGCUUGGGGGAGGCUUCUCCAAUUACUUAAUGCUUUGCCUGAUCAUCCUCUUAAGAAAAAUGAAAUACUUGAUAUCUUUUAUAAUGGACUAACCGAUGCUUCCAGAGAUUACCUGGAUAGUUGUGCUGGUUCUGUUUUCAGGGAAAGAACACCGGAUGAAGCUGAAAUUUUAUUGAAUAAUAUGUUGACAAAUGAAAAUAAUUGGACACUUCCUGAGCCAAUUCCUGAGCCUAUUCCUAAACCAACUCCGAAGAAGAGGGGUGUUCUAUUUCUCAGUCCUGAAGAUAUGCAAGAGGCAAAGAAAUCUAUGAAAGAAAAGGGUAUUAAAGCUGAAGAUAUUAAGAAUUUACCUCCUAUUGAAGAAAUACAUGGUCUUAAUUUACCGCCUGUUGAAGAAAUAUAUGAUCCUAAUCCAUUACCUAUCGAAGAAACUCAUGGUCUUGAUAACCCGGCACAGGUAGUAAAGGUAAAUUCUCUCUAUAGAUUUGAUGAAGGUGAUAUCUGAUACGUCUCCGUCGUAUCUAUAAUUUUUGAUUGUUCCAUGCCAAUAUUCUACAACUUUCAUAUACUUUUGGCAACUUUUUAUAUUAUUUUUGGGACUAACAUAUUGAUCCAGUGCCCAGUGCUAGUUCCUGUCUGUUGCAUGUUUUAUGUUUCGCAGAAUAUCCAUAUCAAACGGAAUCCAAACGGGAUAAAAACGGACGGAGCUUAUUUUUGGAAUAUUUGGAAAAUUCCGGAAGAAAAAUCCACGUGAGACGGUGCCCGAGGUGGCCACGAGGCAGGGGGGCGCGCCCCUGACCCUCGUGGGCCACCCGUAAGGCGGUUGACGCCCUUCAUCGGCCGCAAGAAAGCUAAUUUUUGGUAAAAAAAUCACGGCGAAGGUUUCAGUCCAAUCGGAGUUACGGAUCUCCUGAUAUAAAAGAAACGAUGAAAGGGCAGCAGGGAGAACACAGAAACAGAGAGAGACAGAGAGACAGAUCCAAUCUCGGAGGGGCUCUCGCCCCUCCCGCCAUGGAGGCCAAGGACCAGAGGGGAAACCCUUCUCCCAUCUAGGGAGGAGGUCAAGGAAGAAGAAGAAGGAGGGGGGCUCUCUCUCCAUCGCUUCCGGUGCCGCCGGAGUGCCACCGGGGGCCAUCAUCAUCACCGCAAUCUUCACCAACAACUUCACCGCCAUCAUCACCAACUCUUCCCCCCUCUAUGCAGCGGUGUAAUCUCUCUCUUACCCGUUGUAAUCUCUACUUAAACCUGGUGCUCAACGCUAUAUAUUAUUUCCCAAUGAUGUAUGGCUAUCCUAUGAUGUUUGAGUAGAUCCGUUUUGUCCUAUGGGCUAUUUGAUGAUCAAAAUUGGUUUGAGUUGCAUGUUUAUUAUUGGUGCUCUUCGUGUCGCGCAAGCGUGAGGGAUUCCCGCUGUAGGGUUUGCAAUAUGUUCAUGAUUUUCUUAUGGUGGGUGGCGUGAGUGACAGAAGCACAGACCCGAGUAAGUAGGUUGUUUGCGUAUGGGAUAAAGAGGACUUGAUACUUUAAUGCUAUGGUUGGGUUUUACCUUAAUGAUCUUUAGUAGUUGCGGAUGCUUGCUAGAGUUCCAAUCAUAAGUGCAUAUGAUCCAAGUAGAGAAAGUAUGUUAGCUUAUGCCUCUCCCUCAAAUAAAAUUGCAAUAAUGAUUACCAGUCUAGUUAUCGAUUGCCUAGGGACAAAUAACUUUCCCGUAACAAAAAGCUCUUUACUAAUUUUGUUGUGUCCUCAUCUAAACAGCCCCUACUUUUUAUUUGCGUGCUCUUUAAAUUCUUGCAAGCUUACCCAAAAACACCUACAAAGUACUUCUAGUUUCAUACUUGUUCUAGGUAAAGCGAACGUCAAGCGUGCGUAGAGUUGUAUCGGUGGUUGAUAGAACUUGAGGGAAUAUUUGUUCUACCUGUAGCUCCUCGUUUGGUUUGACACUCUUACUUAUCGAAAGAGGCUACAAUUGAUCCCCUAUACUUAUGGGUUAUCAAGACCUUUUUCUGCGCCGUUGCCGGGGAGCAAUAGCGUGGGGUGAGUAUUCUCAUGUGUGCUUGUUUGCUUUAUCACUAAGUAAUUUUUAUUUGCUGUUCUUAGUUGUUUCCUAUCUUUAGUUAUGGGUAGGAAACGCAAAAUACCAAAAAAAUUAGUUGUACCUACUGAACCAAUGGUUGAAGAACCACUCAAAAUCUAUCACACUCCCGAAGCUUAUUACUUGGAUCAUCUUCGAUCCCUAUGUGCUCGUGCUGAAACCCUAUUGUAGGGUGGAACCCUAAGUGAAGAUCUUUCACGAAUUGGAGGGGGAAUCCCCAAGAACAAGAAGAACACAAAGGGGGAAAACAAGAGGAACACUCAAAUUGACUUGAUCCAAUCACACAUGUGCUAGGUCCAAUUACACAAAGAGAGAUACAAAGGUCCAAAUCCAACACAAGAAGAUACAAGAGGUAACUAGUUCAUCCCAAUCCUAUGAGGAAAGAGGUCUUGAUGAUCCUAUGAUGGGGAUCCUUCUCCAAGAGGAGGCCUUGAUAUCCACAAGAGGAUCUUCUCCAAGAGGAGGCCUUGAUCUCCAUGAGGAGGAUGAUGAGCAAAGCUCUCUCUUUGUCUAUCCAAUAAUUUGCUAUCCCUAACAUAUGGUCUAGGUACUGAACAUAUAGGUAGGUGGAAGGAGGGGACGAGGUGGAGGCCCAACAGCAGCUCACAGCCGUCCAUCCUGAUGGGCCCGUGCGCACGGGGGUCCCGUGGGCACGGUACAAGCCCGUGCGCACGGGGUGCUCCGGUGCCAGCUCUCUGAGUAGUCCGUGCGCACGGGGUCUUCGAGGCCCGUGGGCACGGGGUCGCCUGGGAGGUGCAGAGUUGAUCUUGUUGCACUCCUUCUUCCUCCUUGUGGCCUUGGAGUCCUUCUCCUACUCCUUUGGGGUGUUCCUCACCAGCUUGUGGUCGUCGGUCUUCGUAUCCAAGGACACAUAGAGCACUUUGGUGAGGUAGCAAGCAAGUCCAAUGGAUAUUCAUGAUAUUCUCGAAGAAGAGCGGGUUCACCUUAAUUCCGGUAGGUCCACUUGGGACUCGAGCUGCUAUGACGGUGUACAUGGAGAUGACCAUGGGAUGCUCCGCAUCAUCCCCUCCCCCAUGGGAGAGAUCCGACCUCGGAUCGUAAACCGUAUCGCCAUGUACACGGUAGGAAUUGAUGCCUUGUCGCUUGGUGAGGUGCUCUAAGAUGUUGGUGCCGUGCAACGUGUAUGCCUUCCCAUGAUGAAGAUAGCUCAUGAUGGUACCACCUUGCAAGACCUUCAAAACGAAAGAACAUGACAAGCACUUGGAAAAACCCAUGAGGUUAGCGUGAACGCAAAGCCUAUCAUUCGGGAAGGGAAAUUACCAACAAGUGAAUUUAUCAUGUGUAUCAUAAGGAAGGGCAAGGUAGGGUGACAUGUCAUGGAGGCAUAUGAUGUGAGUACAACCAACUAUAAGAAACUCAACCAAACAAACAUGCUUCACAAGUAAUAUGUCUAAGUCUCCAAGAUCAAUAAACAUAGCAUGGGUGCACUCACUAGAAUGGCAUAUGAGAAGUGCAACUAAUGGAGACAAGAGACAAUGAUCAAGACAAAUCAAGUGAGAGGCGUGAACAUAUAUGUCCUCAACCCAAGAAAGCGAGUAAUAAAGGAACAUGGGUGAUGCAACCAAGCAAGCAAUCGUAGUAAUCAAGUCAAGCAAGCUAGUAGUGUGAAGAUGCAACAUACUAGAAGGAGUCAUUGCAAUCAUGUCAUGUGUGUAAAUGGUGGGCAUAUAUGAUGCACAUGACAUAUCACAAGCAUGAAAACAAGAUAUGAGUAAAGUAUCAUCAUUAUAUUGGCAAGAAGUCCUAAGUAAAUAGCAAUGGAACAUCAUGACUCUCCCAACACAACAAGCAUCAAUAGCACGAGGCACAUGAUAAACAUGGCAAUAGCAACAAGGAUCUCCACCAUGCAUGCAAAUACACAUAGGAGUAGCAUAAUGGUGAAUCAUGGGUAGAUGCAAGCAAGGGUCACAAUUGCAUGGUAAAAUCAUGUAAAGAGGCAUAACAUGCAAAGUGAACAAGAUACAAUGGGCAUAAAGUAACAACUGAUAUAUAGCCCAUAGCCUUGUGAGAGCCAAGUAGAAGAGAUGCGCGUAGUCGUUGCGCGAAGAGAAUGGUAGGAAGGACAAUCCACGGGAUCCCAAAUCGUCGUUGCUCUCAAGAGCUUGUUUCGUCAACUCUUGGGAUUGAGAGGUUGACGAGUAUACGUGAGUACCUACACACAACAAAAACAAAGGGAAAAUUGUGUGUGCGUGGUAGAUGUACACAUCAUCCAUCAUGAUGCGCACGUGCUUGUGUUGGUUAGCACAAAAUAUCCAAUGCUCAAAUAAAUGAGUUGCAUGAUAUAGAAACAUGUCAUCCAUCAUGAGAGGUUUGUUGUUAUGUAUAGCAUAAUGGAGAUUCAAAGGAUGUAAUGCAUCACUCGUAAUAUCUAGAGCAUUGUGAGGAAUGGUAUGCAUGUGGUGCACACAAGGGAUGUAAUCCCGUGAUACACAAUAAUUUCCAUGGUAUGACAUAUGAGAUGAAUUGCACAAACUUUGCAAAGGAAGCAUAGCAAUAUCAUCGCAAGAGAAAUAAAAGCCAAUGACCAUCAUCUCGUCAUCUAUGCCAUAUGUGCAGAUAGGAUUUAUUUUAAUGGGGCAUGCAUAGUUACUAUGUUGAGAUUGAAAUGAUGCAAUAUGGGAGAUCUCACUCAUACCAUAUGACAAGGUUAAUGGAUUGUCAAAAAUGAUGUGACCAAAAGAAUUUUCACAUGAUAUCCUAUGGAGCAUAGCAUCACAACUAGGCAACUCAACAUGCUCAUCAUCAUAUCCAUCAUAAAUAGGUAAGUCAUGACAUGAGGAAGUCGCACUAGCAUGAAGUAUUGUAAUAGGUGUGUCAACAUCAUGCAAGCAAUCAUUGUGAAUAUAGUCCACUAGUGGGACAAGUGAAGCACCAUCACCUAUGUUACCUUGUUCAUUCCACUCAAGUGGUGUAGGUGAGGUGGCAAAGACCAAAUGGUGGUCAUCAACUUCAUCUUGAUGGAACCAUGUGGGGGUGCAUCAUAUUCCACCAUGGCCAUUGUCUUGUCCAAAGGUAGGACGAAGUCGUCGAGGAUCGGCGCAUCAUCAUAUAUGGGACCUAUCACCAAAUGAGAAGACACAAUAGAGGUAGAGGUUAAGUUGUUAGAAAUCAAAAUGGCCUCACAUGCCCUAUCAACUACCUCGCUCUCUCUAUGUGGUGGUGGCUCACUCACUCCCUCAAGGUAGGUGCACUCAGUGUCACAUAUGGUGGAGUCACUCAAAUCACUCAAGUGGUGAUGGUGGUGGCUCUCCUCACAUGGAAAUUGGGGCAGCUCAUCAUAUAUGGGGCUAGUGGUGAAGUCACUCUCACUUUCAAUAUGGUGGCAAAAGUCACUCAAGUCAUCAUACGUCGCCGUGGUCGAAGGGAAAAUCCCAUGCUCAACCCUCUCUUCGUGAAUGAAGGCCGACGAUGGCACAUCAUCGCUCUCCUCCAUGACCGAAGGGAAAAUCCCAUGCUCGAUCAUCCCGUCACCGUCACCGUGGAUGAAGGCCGAUGUAGGCGUACUCGUCGGAGGUAUGCGAAGAUGCCGUACGUCCAAAAGCGAAGAUGCCUUGAUAACACUAGGCGAAGAUGCCGAAGUGGAGGUGGUAGCCGUAGCUUGCUCGUGGUGGUGCUCGUCUCUCGGUAUCCUCUUGUACUCAUGAAGGUUUUCUUGACGGUGCCGCGUGGUACUUGCAUCUUGUGGCCGCUCCGAAGACUUGCGACUGAGCGUCUCCGCCUUGAAGAUGAUGAAGAGGAAGAAGACUUGUAGUUGGCCCACACGUGUCGGAUGUCAUCCAAUUGUGCAUCCAACUUGGUGUCGAUGUAGUCCCUUGUCCGUGCUUCGCGUUGGUGAAUGUCGAUGGUGAGUCGCUCAAUGCCUCGCAUUGCUCGUUGUAGUCCGAAGAUGGGCGUUUUGGUGAUGUAGUUGUUCGCGCCGUCGUUGUCGUGGAAGACCGGUGAUGAAAUGCCUUGCCUAUCCAUCACAAGACUCGAGCAAAUGUGAGUGGAAGAAAGGAAAGAUCUAGACCAAAUGUACCUUUCCAAUGUUGAAGAUGGAUCGAUGAUCACUCAAUAAUGUAUCAAGGAAAUAGCACAAUUGGUACCGGAUCUUGUCAAUUCUCACACCUACACAAGUAAGGCUUAUGGUGGAGCUUGGUGAGGAUAGUGGCACAAAAAUUUGAUGCAAAAUGUUAGCAAGAGUCAAUAAUGUUGGAAAAGAUUCACAAAUUCGCAAGAGAAACAAGUAGACCAAUAGCAAUAUGUGGUACACGGAAACACACACACGGAUAGAUAAAUGGGGUCGUGCAACCAAGGUAUGAGCACAAAAUGUGGAAUCCACGGAAAAUGCUCGUGUUGCACAACUCAAGAGAGACGCUAGCAUUUCUCAAUAGGCGGAUAUGACACUUGUGCACAACCUAUAAGAUGCAAAAUGUAUGAGCUUUCUAUCCCAAGUAUGCUAUGUGUAUGAUGUUCCCGUUGUUUGAUUGAAGAUGAUCGGAUAUGGCAAUCUUAUGCGAUGUUGUAGGAUGCUAUGGCUAUUGCUUACAAGCUUCUUUGCUCUUUCUCUUUUUGCUUAAAAGCUUUUUUUUUGAUAUGACCACAAUGCAAAAUGCACAAACCAAGAUAGCAAUUGUGUAUAUGCGGGAACAAUCUUGUGACACAAGGGAUGAUAUGAUGAUACCAAUAUGAUAUGGUAUGUAUGCAAUGGAAGGGUGGAUCACUAAUGUGCACAAGUAACGUGGCCCGGCAAUACUCAAAUGGCUAGUCUCGAUAGGCAAGUGACGCAAAAUGGGCUAAGGGGUUAACAAUGCAAUGGCAAGAAUGUACAAUGAAGGGAUACCACGAUACCAGGAUGAUAUAGAGGUUACCGUUCUUGCUUACGGUUAGGGUGCCAAAAUGGUGAAGUGGUCGAUGUCGAAGACGACCUCGUGGCGAUGAUGAGUGGCGGUGUUCUUGAUGUAGAUACCAAGAUGAUGUAGACUCGUCCCUAAGUAGCCGAAACACCUUAGGAAACGGUAAAAACCGCAAACUCAAAAUCUCAUACGGAAAAAGUCAAAUGGUGGAAGCGGAGAUGGCAAUGCGGAAGUGGUGGUGGUGGUUGAUGAAGAAGCAACCGUCCCUAAGUAGCCGAAACACCUUAGGAGACUCAAGUCACCACUCAAACAACCGCAGUUGCUAAAUGGAGCAAAACGGGUUAGGUUGCGGAAGGCUAUGGUGGUUUUACGGAUGAUAUGGUGGAAGGCCUAGGCAAAUAUGCCAAAUUUUGAAACAUUUGUGGAGUCAAAUGGUGUUGGAACCUAUCUAGAUGGAUGGGGGAUGGCAAUAGCUACUCAACGAGCUAAAGAACGCGAAAAUCGGACUCCGGAUGUGGAAGUUAUGGGCAAAACGGUGAAGUGCUCGCGGCUGACAUGGGAGGGUCGUGCGCACGGGGGUAGGAGCCCGUGGGCACGGGGUCCCGUGCACACGGUACAGGUCCGUGGGCACGGGGUGUCCAGAGACUUUUCGGGGGCCCGUGCGCACGGGGUCUGGGGUCCGUGGGCACGGGGUGGGCGGAAAAUUCACGAUUUCGUGGCGGAAAUUGGAGAUUUCUUGGGCAAAAUUGGAGAGAUUUUGAGGAUGGAUGGUGGGGAAAAGAUGGGGGAAAGCUAGAUCCACUUGAAACCAAGCAAAUCGAUGGAUCAAAUCCAACAAAACCUCAUCAAACCAACAAGGCACAAAAAAAUUUGGGGCUAUUUUUGGUGGGGAAUUUUCGAAAUUGGGGAAGAACACAACAAAAUUAGGCUAGAGAACAAGAAGGGGGGCUCCAAUUUCGUGAGAAACCAUGGCUCAUGAUACCAAGAUGUUGUAGGGUGGAACCCUAAGUGAAGAUCUUUCAUGAAUUGGAGGGGGAAUCCCCAAUAACAAAAAGAACACAAAGGGGGAAAACAAGAGGAACACUCAAAUUGACUUGAUCCAAUCACACAUGUGCUAGGUCCAAUUACACAAAGAGAGAUACAAAGGUCCAAAUCCAACACAAGAAGAUACAAGAGGUAACUAGUUCAUCCCAAUCCUAUGAGGAAAGAGGUCUUGAUGAUCCUAUGAUGGGGAUCCUUCUCCAAGAGGAGGCCUUGAUAUCCACAAGAGGAUCUUCUCCAAGAGGAGGCCUUGAUCUCCAAGAGGAGGAUGAUGAGCAAAGCUCUCUCUUUGUCUAUCCAAUACUUUGCUAUCCCUAACAUAUGGUCUAGGUACUGAAUAUAUAGGUAGGUGGAAGGAGGGGAUGAGGUGGAGGCCCAACAGCAGCUCACAGCCGUCCAUCCUGAUGGGCCCGUGCGCACGGGGUAAGUUGGGCCCGUGCGCACGGGGGUCCCGUGGGCACGGUACAAGACCGUGCGCACGGGGUGCUCCGGCGCCAGCUCUCUGAGUAGUCCGUGCGCACGGGGUCUUCGAGGCCCGUGGGCACGGGGUCGCCUGGGAGGUGCGGAGUUGAUCUUGUUGCACUCCUUCUUCCUCCUUGUGGCCUUGGGGUCCUUCUCCUACUCCUUUGGGGUGUUCCUCACCAGCUUGUGGUCGUCGGUCUUCGUAUCUAAGGACACAUAGAGCACUUUGGUGAGGUAGCAAGCAAGUCCAAUGGAUAUUCAUGAUAUUCUCGAAGAAGAGUGGGUUCACCUUAAUUCCGGUAGGUCCACUUGGGACUCGAGCUGCUAUGACGGUGUACAUGGAGAUGACCAUGGGAUGCUCCGCAUCAAACCCCAACUAGCUUAGUUGAGGGCAAAUCCUUAGAUGAGCAUGGUUGUUAUGUGCGACACCGUAUAUCUGAAAAAGGGAAAAUUCUAUUGGGUCAAAUUCAUCGCUUGCAAUGCUAUGCUUGGAAUUUAUGCGUAAUAUAUGAUUUUACUUGUUGUUCUGAAAACCCUAAGAAAAACCUUCCCUACCAAUGUGAGUUUAGUGAUAAUGGAAUCAUAUCUUCGUAUGCUAAGGGUGUUUAUAAUUACUAUGAUGUUCAACAAAUUGAAGAAUUUGUUGCUUUUAAGGGUGCUUAUGAAAUUGCUUCUUUGAUUGAAAAGUAUGGUGCUACUCUUUACAAAUCUGAAAAUUUUGCCAUACUUAAAUAUUGUUAUGAUAAUUAUGCUUCUAAUGCCUAUGUUAAACCAUAUAUUGAGGACUACUCCGCUGUCCAAGAAGAGACUAAUAUUUUGCAGGAGUCUAUGGAAGAAGAAAUUGAUGAAACCGUGAGCUCAUUGGAUGAAAAAGAUGAUGAGGAGAGCGAAGAACAAAAGGAGGAACAACGGAUUAGCUACCCGUGCCCACCUUCUAAUGAGAGUAACUCUUCAACUCAUACAUUGUUUAAUUUCCCUUCGUGCUUACCAAAGGAUGAUUGCUAUGAUGACUAUUAUGAUCCCGUUGAUUCUCUUGAAAUAUCCCUUUUUGAUGAUGCUUGCUAUGCUUGUGGCCAAGAUGCCAAUAUGAAUUAUGCUUAUGGAGAUGAACUUGCUAUAGUUCCUUAUGUUAAACAUGAAAUUGUUGCUAUUGCACCCACACAUGAUAGUCCUAUUAUCUUUUUGAAUUCUCCAAACUACACUAUAUCGGAGAAGUUUGUGCUUAUUAAGGAUUAUAUUGAUGGGUUCUCCUACUUGCAAUUAUUAUGAGAGAGGAACUAUAUCUCCACCUCUCUAUGUUUCUAACACGAUAAAAUUGCAAGAAACUGCUUACACUAUGCAUUGGCCUUUACUAGGUGUGCAUGAAUUGUUCUUUUAUGACAUGCCGAUGCAUAGGAAGAGAGUUAGACUUCGUCAUUACAUGAUAUAUGUUACUUUGUGCUCACUACUAAAUUACAAAUCAUUGUUAAUUAAAAUUGGCUUUGAUAUACCUUGGGAUCCGGGUGGAUCCAUUACUUGAGCACUAUAUGCCUAGCUUAAUGGCUUUAAAGAAAGCGCUGCCAGGGAGACAACCCGGAAGUUUUAGAGAGUCAUUUAUUUCUGUUGAGUGCUUUCAUAUAGUUUAAAAACAACAAAAAUAAAGAGGGGAACCCAAAACUUUUUCAAAAAGGAAAGUGAAAGUGAGAAAGACAAGCAUUGUUGAAGUGGGAGAGCUCCUUGAACUUUGUUCAUGCUCACGGAAACUUUGUGAAUCUUGAUUACAGAAACUUUUCGACAAAAAUAAUUAUCCCCUUGUACAAUUCCAUUGUAUUAUAAAAAUAAUGUGCCAGGGUUUGCCUUUAGGAUGUUUACAAUGCUUGUUGGUUUGUGCGGUGCAGGACAGAAACUUUGGCUGUAGCGCGCGAAUUUUAAUUUUUUAUUGGAACGUCAAGCGGUGCUGAUUCUUUUUGCACUGUCUUUCUAUAUAAAUUGUUUAUUUAUCCUAAUUUUGGAAGAAUUUUUCAAGUACCAGAAGUAUGGUUAAUGUUCAGAUUAUUAUAGACUGUUCUGUUUUAGACAGAUUCUGUUUUUGAUGCAUAGUUUGCUUGUUUUGAUGAAACUAUCAAUUUAUAUCAGUGGAUUAAGCCAUGAAAAAGUUAUAUUACAGUAGACACAAUGCAAAAACAAAAUAUGAAUUGGUUUUCAACAGUACUUAGAGUAGUGAUUUACUUUAUUAUACUAACGGAUCUUACCGAGUUUUCUGUUGAAGUUUUGUGUGGAUGAAGUGUUCGAUGAUCGAGAAGGUCUCGAUGUGAGAAGAAGGAAGAGAGGCAAGAGCUCAAGCUUGGGGAUUCCCGAGGCACCCCAAGUAAAUAUUUAAGGAGACUCAAGUGUCUAAGCUUGGGGAUGCCCCGGAAGGCAUCCCCUCUUUCUUCAACAAGUAUCGGUAUGUUUUCGGAUUCGUUUCGUUCAUGCGAUAUGUGCAGAUCUUGGAGCGUCUUUUGCAUUUAGUUUUCAUUUUUAUUUUAUGCACCAUGCUGGUAUGAGAUAGUCCUUGGUUGAUUUAUAGAAUGCUCAUUUCACUUCACUUAUAUCUUUUGAGUAUGGCUUUAUAGAAUGCUUCAUGUGCUUCACUUAUAUCAUUUGAAAUUUGGAUUGCCUGUUUCUCUUUACAUAGAAAACCACCAUUUGUAGAAUGCUCUUUUGCUUCACUUAUAUUUGUUAGAGCGUGGGCAUAUCUUUUGUAGAAAUAAUUAAACUCUCUUGCUUCACUUAUAUCUAUUUAGAGAGAUGACAGGAACUGGUCAUUCACAUGGUUAGUCAUAAAAUCCUACAUAAAACUUGUAGAUCACUGAAUAUGAUAUGUUUGAUUCCUUGCAAUAGUUUUGCGAUAUAACGAUGGUGAUAUUAGAGUCAUGCUAGUGGGUAGUUGUGGAUUAGUAGAAAUACUUGUGUUGAGGUUUGUGAUUCCCGUAGCAUGCACGUAUGGUGAACCGUCAUGUGAUGAAGUCGGAGCAUGAUUUAUUUAUUGAUUGUCUUCCUUAUAAGUGACGGUCGGGGACGAGCGAUGGUCUUUUCCUACCAAUCUAUCCCCCUAGGAGCAUGCGCGUAGUACUUUAUUUCGAUGACUAAUAGAUUUUUCCAAUAAGUAUGUGAGUUCUUUAUGACUAAUGUUGAGUCCAUGGAUUAUACGCACUCUCACCCUUCCAUCAUUGCUAGCCUCUUCGGUACCGUGCAUUGCCCUUUCUCACCUCGAGAGUUGGUGCAAACUUCGCCGGUGCAUCCAAACCCCGUGAUAUGAUACGCUCUGUCACACAUAAGCCUCAUUAUAUCUUCCUCAAAACAGCCACCAUACCUACCUAUCAUGGCAUUUCCAUAGCCAUUCCGAGAUAUAUUGCCAUGCAACUUCCAUCAUCAUCAUAUACAUGACUUGAACAUUUAAUGUCAUAUUGCUUUGCAUGAUCGUAAGAUAGCUAGCAUGAUGUUUUCAUGGCUUGUCCGUUUUUUGAUGGCAUUGCUACGCUAGAUCAUUGCACAUCCCGGUACACCGCCGGAGGCAUUCAUAUAGAGUCAUAUCUUUGUUCUAGUAUCGAGUUGUAAUAUUGAGUUGUAAGUAAAUAAAAGUGUGAUGAUCAUCAUUAUUAGAGCAUUGCCCCAGUGAGGAAAGGAUGAUGGAGACUAUGAUUCCCCCACAAGUCGGGAUGAGACUCCGGACUUUAUGAAAAAUAAAAGAGGCCAAAGAAUCCCAAAUAAAAAAAAGAGGCCAAAGAAGCCCACCAAAGAAACAAAAAAAAUGAGAGAAAAAGAGAGAAGGGGCAAUGUUACUAUCCUUUUACCACACUUGUGCUUCAAAGUAGCACCAUGUUCUUCAUAUAGAGAGUCUCUUAAGUUAUCACUUUCAUAUACUAGUGGGAAUUUUCAUUAUAGAACUUGGCUUGUAUAUUCUGAUGAUGGGCUUCCUCAAAUGCCCGAGGUCUUCAUGAGCAAGCAAGUUGGAUGCACACCCACUUAGUUUCAGUUUGAGCUUUCAUACACUUAUAGCUCUAGUGCAUCCAUUGCAUGGCAAUCCCUACUCCUCACAUUGACAUCAAUUGAUGGGCAUCUCCAUAGCCCGUUGAUUAGCCGCGUCGAUGUGAGACUUUCUCCUUUUUUGUCUUCUCCACAUAACCCCCACCAUCAUAUUCUAUUCCACCUAUAGUGCUAUGUCCAUGGCUCACGCUCAUGUAUUGCGUGAAAAUUGAAAAGGUUUGAGAACGUCAAAAGUAUGAAACAAUUGCUUGGCUUGUCCUCGGGGUUGUGCAUGAUUUGAAUAUUUUGUGUGGUGAAGAUGGAGCAUAGCCAGACUAUAUGAUUUUGUAGGGAUUACUUUCUUUGGCCACGUUAUUUUGAAAAGACAUGAUUGCUUUAUUAGUAGGCUUGAAGUAUUAUUGUUUUUAUGUCAAAUGAUAGACUAUUGCUUUGAAUCACUCGUGUCUUAAAAUUCAUGCCCUGAUUAGAUACAUGAUCAAGAUUAUGCUAGGUAGCAUUCCACAUCAAAAAUUAUCUUUAUUAUUAUUUACCUACUCGAGGACGAGUAGGAAUUAAGCUUGGGGAUGCUGAUACGUCUCCAUCAUAUCUAUAAUUUUUGAUUGUUCCAUGCCAAUAUUCUACAACUUUCAUAUACUUUUGGCAACUUUUUAUAUUAUUUUUGGGACUAACAUAUUGAUCCAGUGCCCAGUGUCAGUUCCUGUCUGUUGCAUGUUUUAUGUUUCGCAGAAUAUCCAUAUCAAACCGAAUCCAAACGGGAUAAAAACGGACGGAGCUUAUUUUUGGAAUAUUUGGAAAUUUCCGGAAGAAAAAUCCACGCGAGACGGUGCCCGAGGUGGCCACGAGGCAGGGGGGCGCGCCCCUGACCCUCGUGGGCCACCCGUAAGGCGGUUGAUGCCCUUCUUCGGCCGCAAGAAAGAUACUUUUUGGUAAAAAAUCGCGGCGAAGGUUUCAGUCCAAUCGGAGUUACGGAUCUCCAGAUAUAAAAGAAACGGUGGAAGGGCAGCAGGGAGAACGCAGAAACAGAGAGAGACAGAGAGAUAGAUCCAAUCUCGGAGGGGCUCUCGCCCCUCCCACGCCAUGGAGGCCAAGGAGCAGAGGGGAAACCCUUCUCCCAUCUAGGGAGGAGGUCAAGGAAGAAGAAGAAGGAGGGGGGCUCUCUCUCCCUCGCUGCCGAUAGCGCCGGAGUGCCACCGGGGGCCAUCAUCAUCACCGCAAUCUUCACCAACAACUUCACCGCCAUCAUCACCAACUCUUCCCCCCUCUAUGCAGCGGUGUAAUCACUCUCUUACCCGCUGUAAUCGCUACUUAAACAUGGUACUCAACGCUAUAUAUUAUUUCCCAAUGAUGUAUGGCUAUCCUAUGAUGUUUGAGUAGAUCCGUUUUGUCCUAUGGGCUAUUUGAUGAUCAAGAUUGGUUUGAGUUGCAUGUUUUAUUAUUGGUGCUGUCCUAUGGUGCUCUCCGUGUCGUGCAAGCGUGAGGGAUUCCCGAUGUAGGGUUUGCAAUAUGUUCAUGAUUUUCUUAUGGUGGGUGGCGUGAGUGACAGAAGCACAGACCCGAGUAAGUAGGUUGUUUGCGUAUGGGAUAAAGAGGACUUGAUACUUUAAUGCUAUGGUUGGGUUUUACCUUAAUGAUCUUUAGUAGUUGCGGAUGCUUGCUAGAGUUCCAAUCAUAAGUGCAUAUGAUCCAAGUAGAGAAAGUAUGUUAGCUUAUGCCUCUCCCUCAAAUAAAAUUGCAAUAAUGAUUACCGGUCUAGUUAUCGAUUGCCUAGGGACAAAUAACUUUCCCGUAACAAAAAGCUCUUUACUAAUUUUGUUGUGUCCUCAUCUAAACAGCCCCUACUUUUUAUUUGCGUGCUCUUCAUAUUCUUGCAAGCUUACCCAAAAACACCUACAAAGUACUUCUAGUUUCAUACUUGUUCUAGGUAAAGCGAACGUCAAGCAUGCGUAGAGUUGUAUCGGUGGUCGAUAGAACUUGAGGGAAUAUUUGUUCUACCUUUAGCUCCUCGUUGGGUUCGACACUCUUACUUAUCGAAAGAGGCUACAAUUGAUCCCCUAUACUUGUGGGUUAUCAAUAUCCCUUGUUAUAAGUCUGCUAGACAAUGCUUAAUGAGUUUGACAAUUUCAUUGUUAAACAAGAAAACUUUAAUGCUUAUUUUGGUAGACAAUUGAAAUAUAAUUCCGAUACGCUUGAAUACUUGGGUGAUUAUAUGUCUAGAGUUAAAGGUGAACUUAAACUCAUUAGUAAACAUGCUUCUAUGGUUACCACUCAAGUAGAACAAGUACUUAAGGCUCAGAAUGAUUUGCUCAAUGAAUUAAAUAGUAAGAAUAAUGAUUUUGCUGUUAGAGUGGCCACUAGAACUGGUAAAAUGACUCAGGAACCUUUGUAUCCUGAAGGCCAUCCUAAGAGAAUUGAGCAAGAUUCUCAAAGAACUAAUUUAGAUGCACCUAGUCCUUCUAAAAAGAAGAAAAAGAAAAAUGAUAGGACUUUGCAUGCUUCUAGUGAACCUAUUGCUGAAACACCUGAGAAUCCAAAUGAUAUUUCUAUUUCUGAUGCUGAAACACAAUAUGGUAAUGAACAUGAACCUAGUGAUAAUGUUAAUGAUAAUGUUCAUGAUGAUGCUUAACCUAGCAAUGAUAAUGAUGUAGAAAUUGAACCUGCUGUUGAUCUUGAUAACCCACAAUCAAAGAAUCAACGUUAUGAUAAGAGAGACUUUGUUGCUAGGAAGCACGGUAAGGAAAGAGAGCCAUGGGUUCAGAAACCCAUGCCUUUUCCUCCCAAACCAUCCAAGAAAAAGGAUGAUGAGGAUUUUGAGCGCUUUGCUGAAAUGAUUAGACCUAUCUUCUUGCGUAUGCGAUUAACUGAUAUGCUCAAAAUGAAUCCUUAUGCUAAGUAUAUGAAAGAAAUUGUCACUAAUAAAAGAAAGAUACCAGAAGCUGAAAUUUCCACCAUGCUUGCUAAUUACACUUUUAAGGGUGGAAUACCUAAGAAACUAGGAGAUCCAGGAGUACCAACUAUACCAUGCUCCAUUAAAAGAAACUAUGUUAAAACUGCUUUAUGUGAUCUUGGAGCCGGUGUUAGUGUUAUGCCUCUCUCUUUAUAUCGUAGACUUGAUUUGAAUAAGUUGACACCUAAUGAAAUAUCUUUGCAAAUGGCUGAUAAAUCAACUGCUAUACAUGUCGGUAUUUGUGAGGAUGUGCCUGUUGUGGUUGCAAACGUUACUAUUUUAACGGACUUUGUUAUUCUUGAUAUUCCCGAGGACGAUAGUAUGUCUAUUAUUCUUGGAAGACCCUUUUUGAAUACUGCAGGGGCUGUUAUUGAUUGCAACAAAGGCAAUGUCACUUUUCAUGUUAAUGGUAAUGAGCAUACGGUACACUUUCCGAGGAAACAACCUCAAGUUCAUAGUAUAAAUUCUAUUGGAAAAAUUCCAUCAAUUAUUUUUGGAGGUUUUGAAUUUCCUCUACCUACUGUCAAGAAGAAAUAUGAUAUUCUUAUUAUUGGGGAUGUGCAUAUCCCCGUUGAGGUAACGUACAUAGUGUUAUUCGAAAUUUCUCCGGUUCCAUGUUAGUCGGAAUGAGUUUGUUAACAAGACUUGAUCAACCUUGUUAGUGGAUUCCUUUUGAUGAGCAUGAGAUGGAUGAAGUUAGAAAGCACAACCUUCUGUACCCUCCUUUUACUUUCUGUUAUUUAGUUGAAAUAAAGUAAAAUUAGUAUUUUUCUGUCUGUUUUCUGAAUUAUCCGUGCAAUAUAAAAUACCCCGAAAAUAAAAGUUCUCCAAAUGCCCCGAAAUUGAAAUAUGAUUUUUUCUGGAAUAUUUGAGAAUAUCUGGCACUGAGAACACAGCAGGGGGAGCAAGCACCUAGCCACGAGGGUCCAGGGCGCGCCCACCCCUACAGGGCGCGCCCCUGCCUCGUGGGCCCACGGUGUCUCCCCUCCACUUAUUCCUGCACCCACACACUUCUUCUUCCUUCCAAAAAAAUCACCAUCCAGCUCAAGCACGAGUUCUAGCUCAUUUUGCUGCGAUUUUCGAUCUCCUUGCUCAAAGCACCUCUCACAAAACUGCUUGGGGGGAUUGUUCCUUGGUAUGUGACUCCUCCAUUGGUCCAAUUAGUUUUUGUUCUAGUGCUUUAUUCAUUGCAAAUUUGUGCUGCCUAGGUGACCAUGUUCUUGAGCUUGCAUGUCAAAUUUAUAUGGUUCCAAGUAGUUCUAAUGCAUGAUAUAGGCUCUAGGCACUUGUAGGAGUAGUUGCUAUCAAUUUUGUUGAGCUUGGUUCACUUUUAUUUGAAGUUACUAAAAAUUUCAGAAAUUUUUCAGAGGAAGAAAUAUGUUUAGGAAAAUGUACCAAGGCGGCCCUUCAAGGAAGCAAGGACCCAGGCUCGCAAUGCGCGAUGCCGAUGAUGAGCCACCAAGGAAUGCUCCAGUGUGGCCUUGUGAAUGGCCUUCAGAAGACUUUAUGGAUCGAGCGGGAAUCAAGGAAGAAUUUAACGCGUAUUUGCGUAAUGCCGAUCUUGUGAGCUUCGAGGCAGAAAAGUGCCGCUAGUACCACUAUCUCACUAGUUCCUUUGUGAGGAGGUUUGAAUUUUCAUCUUCACGCAAUUCUCAAACUGUCCUGUUUGAUCUUUAUGAAAAAUCUUAUACUAUGGACUUAGAGGAUUUUACCACUGCUUGCAAACUUCCACAAUGGGGUAGUGCUAGUGAACCUCGCAAAUCUGAAUUUAGAGAUUUUCUUGCUAGUAUAACUAUGGGGGAAUCUAGAGAUAUAGCCCAAGCUACCAUAGGGAGCAUUCAUUUUCCUGCUAUACAUUAUUUUGCUCUCUUCAUAGGUAGGUGCAUAAAUGGUAAAGAUGAAGCAUGUCAUAUGUGUGUCCCUGACCUCAGUGUUCUCAGGAGUGCUGUGUUAGGAGAUAAAUCUUAUAAUUUGGGAGCCAUUGUUGCACGUAGGUUGCAUCAUAAUAGAUUUAAUGGAGAUUUCUUUGGUGGAAUUUAUGCAACCCGCUUAGCUGAUUUUCUUGGUGUAACCAUACGUGAUGAUGAUAUUGAAUAGCCUCCUACUUAUCUAGACUUUAAUGAUAUGGUUCACCAUCAGUUUGUUGGGAGGAAUGAACCGCCUCUCCAGUACCGACUAAUCUUUGACAGGCGUCACGCUGUCAAUAUUGUCCUCCCUGCUCCCGCUUUCUUUGACUUUCAGGAAAAAGGGAGACAUUACAUAACCAAAGAGGAGGCGGAGGAGUAUAAGAGGAGGGCUGAGAUAGCUCGCCUCCAAGCUGCAGCACACGAUGCAAUGGCCGCUGCAUCCCAGUACGACCCAAACUACAACUUUGGAUAUCUGCCAGGCCAUCUGUGGCAAUAUACCAACUUAGGCCAAAAGCCUAAGCUUGGGGGAGUACGUAUUUCUCACCGAUGUUACAUUCAUGUUCACACACUCAUUGCUAGAUGUCGGUGCUCAUACUUUUUCACUGUAAUAUCCAUGCUAAUUUAUUUUCUUUUUCUUGCUUUCUUCUUGUGUGUUUGUUAAACCUUAAGAAAAAAAUCAGUUGUAGCUUUUAGUUAGUUCACUUUUCUUGCUGUAGUAAUAAUUAAAAAGAAAACCCCAAAAGAUUUUCUUUUCUUCUUUUGCUUGUUGGGAGCUUUCCCGUGUAAAUAGUUUUAUUUCUUUGGGGGUCGAUAGGAGAAGACCAUAAUUAAAAUGUUGAAGCGGCUCUUAUAUGCAUUAUUGUUGAAUUGCCCAAGAGCCCAUAUUGCCUUGUCUUCUCCUGUUUAUUGAAUGCUCGCAGAUUCCAGCUUAGUCCAAUGCACGUGCACUAUUAUUAUUAUUCACAUCAUUCGGUCGUGCAAGUGAAAGGCAAUUAUGACGAUAUAUGAUGGACUGAUUGAGAUGAGAGAAGCUGGUAUGAACUCGACCUCUCUUGUUUUUGCAAAUAUGAUUAGUUCAUCGUUCCUGAUUCAGCUUAUUAUGAAUAAACAUGUUUGCAAUGACAAUUAGAGAUUAUAAUUUCUUAUGCCAUUCUUAAUUAGCUAGGAGCUUAUAAUGGUUUACCUUGCGUGCCAACAUGCUAUUAAAAUGGUUGUGAUGUGGUAUGAUGGGGUGGUAUCCUCCUUUGAAUGAUUUAAGUGACUUGACAUGGCACAUGUUCACGCAUGUAGUUGAAACAAAUCAACAUAGCCUUCACGAUAUUUAUGUUCAUGGUGGAUUAUAUCCUACUCAUGCUUGUACUCAAUGUUUGUUAAUUUUAAUGCAUGUUCAUGACUGUUGUCGCUCUCUAGUUGGUCGCUUCCCAGUCUUUUGCUAGCCUUCAGUUGUACUAAGGGGAAUACUGCUUGUGCAUCCAAUUCCUUAAACCCCAAAGUUAUGCCAUAUGAGUCCACUAUACCUUCCUAUAUGCGGUAUCUACCUGCCGUUCCAAGUAAAUUUGUAUGUGCCAAACUCUAAACCUUCAAAUGAAAUUCUAUUUUGUAUGCUCGAAUAGCUCAUGUAUCAACUAGCGCUGUCCGUAUCUUCCAUGCUAGGUGGGUUAUUCUCAAGAGGAGUGGACUCCGCUCCUCACUCACGAGAAAAUGGCUGGUCACCGGGAUACCCAGUCCCAUGCUUUAUGCAAACUAAAUCAAAAUAAUUGCAAACAAAACUCCCAUAGGACUGUUGUUUGUUGGAGGCACUCAUUGUUUCGAGCAAGCCAUGGAUUGAUGCUUAUUGGUGGAGGGGGAGUAUAAACUUUACCAUUCUGUUUGGGAACUGCCUAUAAUGUGUGUAGCAUGGAAGAUAUCGCCAUCUCUUGGUUGUUAUGUUGACAAUGAAAGUAUGCCGCUCAAAAUAUUAUUUAUCUCUGCUUUAAAAUCGAGCUCUGGCACCUCUACAAAUCCCUGCUUCCCUCUGCGAAGGGCCUAUCUAUUUACUUUCAUGUUGAGUCAUCACCCUCUUAUUAAAAAGCACCAGUUGGAGAGCGCUACUGUCAUUUGCAUCCAUUACUAUUAAUUUAUAUUGGGUAUGACUAUGAUUGGAUCUCUUUUGCCAUGAAUUACAAUGUCUAGUCAGUCCUUGAUCUCUAAAGGAGCUCUGCAUUGAUGUUUUGCGGUCUCAGAAAGGGCUAGCGAGAUACCAUCCUGUUAUAUCAUAUUAUGAUUGUUUUGAGAAAGUGUUGUCAUCCGAGAUUUAUUAUUAUUGCUCGCUAGUUGAUUAUGUCAUUGAUAUGAGUAAACAUGAGACCUAAGUGUUAUUGUGAAUAUGGUUAGUUAUAAUCUUUCCUGAAAACUUGAAUGCUGGCUUUACAUAUUUACAACAACAAGAGCAAACAGAGUUCGUAAAAGCUUUUCUGUAUCACUUUCAGUUUAUCAACUGAAUUGCUUGAGGACAAGCAAAGGUUUAAGCUUGGGGGAGUUGAUACGUCUCCGUCGUAUCUACUUUUCCAAACACUUUUGCCCUUGUUUUGGACUCUAACUUGCAUGAUUUCAAUGGAACUAACCCGGACUGACGCUGUUUUCAGCAGACUUUCCAUGGUGUUAUUUAUGUGCAGAAACAAACGUUCUCGGAAUGACCUGAAACUCCAUGGAACUUAUUUUUGGAAAAUAUAAAAAAUACUGGAAGAAGAAUCCACGGCAGGGGGGCCUCCACCUGUCCACGAGGGUGGGGGGCGCGCCUGCCCCCCUGGGCGCGCCCCGGUGCCUCGUGGGCCCCCUGACGCUCCACCGACCUCAACUCCAACUCCAUAUAUUCGUGUUCGGGGAGAAAAAAAAUCAGAGAGAAGGAUUCAUCGCGUUUUACGAUACGGAGCCGCCGCCAAGCCCUAAAACCUCUCGGGAGGGCUGAUCUGGAGUCCGUUCGGGGCUCCGGAGAGGGGAAUCCGUCGCUGUCGUCAUCAUCAACCAUCCUCCAUCACCAAUUUCAUGAUGCUCACCGCCGUGCGUGAGUAAUUCCAUCGUAGGCUUGCUGGACGGUGAUGGGUUGGAUUUGAUUUAUCAUGUAAUCGAGUUAGUUUUGUUAGGUUUUGAUCCCUAGUAUCCACUAUGUUCUGAGAUUGAUGUUGCUAUGACUUUGCUAUGCUUAAUGCUUGUCAAUAGGGCCCGAGUGCCAUGAUUUCAGAUCUGAACCUAUUAUGUUUUCAUGAAUAUAUGUGAGUUCUUGAUCCUAUCUUGCAAGUCUAUAGUCACCUACUAUGUGUUAUGAUCCGGCAACCCCGAAGUGACAAUAAUCGGGACCACUCCCGGUGAUGACCAUAGUUUGAGGAGUUCGUGUAUUCACUAUGUGUUAAUGCUUUGGUCCGGUACUCUAUUAAAAGGAGGCCUUAAUAUCCCUUAGUUUCCGUUAGGACCCCGCUGCCACGGGAGGGUAGGACAAAAGAUGCCAUGCAAGUUCUUUUCCAUAAGCACGUAUGACUAUAUUCGGAAUACAUGCCUACAUUAUAUUGAUGAAUUGGAGCUAGUUCUGUGUCACCCUAUGUUAUGACUGUUACAUGAUGAACCGCAUCCGGCAUAAUUCCCCAUCACCGAUCCAAUGCCUACGAGCUUUUCACAUAUUGUUCUUCGCUUAUUUACUUUUCCGUUGCUAUUGUUACAAUCAUCACAAAACCCAAAAAUAUUACUUUUGCUACUGCUACCGUUACUUCCAUAUUACUUUGCUACUAAAUACUUUGCUGCAGAUACUAAGUUAUCCAGGUGUGGUUGAAUUGACAACUCAACUGCUAAUACUUGAGAAUAUUCUUUGGCUCCCCUUGUGUCGAAUCAAUAAAUUUGGGUUGAAUACUCUACCCACAAAAACUGUUGCGAUCCCCUAUACUUGUGGGUUAUCACACGUAUGGUAACCGUUGUGUGACAAAUUUGAAGCAUGAGGUAUUUCUUUGAUUGUCUUCCUUUGUGUGGAGGUUGGGAUCGCGCGAUGGUUAACUCCUACCAACCCUUCCCCUAGGGGCAUGCGUGUAGUACUUUGUUUUGAUGACCUGUAGAUUUUUGCAAUAAGUAUAUGAGUUCAUUAUGACUAAUGUUGAGUCCAUGGAUUAUACGCACUCUCACCUUUCCAUCAUUGCCAGCCUCUUCUGUACCGUGCAUUGCCCUUUCUCACCUCGAGAGUUGGUGCAAACUUCGCCGGUGCAUCCAAACCCUGUGAUAUGAUACGCUCUAUCACACAUAAACCUCCUUAUAUCUUCCUCAAAACAGCCACCAUACCUACCUAUUAUGGCAUUUCCAUAGCCAUUCCGAGAUAUAUUGCCAUGCAACUUUCCACCGUUUCAUUUAUUAUGACACGCUUCAUCAUUGUUAUAUUGCCUUGCAUGAUCAUGUAGUUGACAUCGUAUUUGUGGCAAGGCCACCAUGCAUAAUUUUUCAUACAUGUCACUCUUGUUUCAUUGCUCAUCCCGAUACACCGCCGGAGGCAUUCAUAUAAAGUCAUAUCUUGUUCUAGUAUCGAGUUGUAAUCAUUGAGUUGUAAAUAAAUAGAAGUGUGAUGAUCAUCAUUAAUAGAGCAUUGUCCCAAAUAAAAAAAGAAAAAGAAAAGAAAGGCCAAAAAAAGAAAGGCCAAAUAAAAAAAGGAAGGCCCAAAAAAAGAAGGGGCAAUGCUACUAUCCUUUUUCCACACUUGUGCUUCAAACUAGCACCAUGAUCUUUAUGAUAGAGAGUCUCUUAUGUUGUCACUUUCAUAUACUAGUGGGAAUUUUUCAUUAUAGAACUUGGCUUGUAUAUUCCAACAAUGGGCUUCCUCAAAUGCCCUAGGUCUUCGUGAGCAAGCAAGUUGGAUGCACACCCACUUAGUUUCUUUUGUUGAGCUUUCAUACAUUUAUAGCUCUAGUGCAUCUGUUGCAUGGCAAUCCCUACUCCUUGCAUUGACAUCAAUUGAUGGGGAUCUCCAUAGCCCGUUGAUUAGCCGUGUCAAUGUGAGACUUUCUCCUUUUUUAUCUUCUCCACACAACCCCCAUCAUUAUAUUCUAUUCCACCCAUAGUGCUAUAUCCAUGGCUCACGCUCAUAUAUUGCGUGAAGGUUGAAAAAGUUUGAGAUUACUAAAGUAUGAAACAAUUGCUUGGCUUGUCAUCGGGGUUGUGCAUGAUGAGAGCAUUCUUGUGUGACGAAAAUGGAGCAUGACCAAACUAUAUGAUUUUGUAGGGAUGAACUUUCUUUGGCCAUGUUAUUUUGAGAAGACAUAAUUAUUUUGUUAGUAUGCUUGAAGUAUUAUUAUUUUUAUGUCAAUAUUAAAGUUUUAUCUUGAAUCUUUCGGAUCUGAACAUUCAUGCCACAAUAAAGAAAAUUACAUUGAGAAUUAUGCUAGGUAGCAUUCCACAUCAAAAAUUCUGUUUAUAUCAUUUACCUACUCGAGGACGAGCAGGAAUUAAGCUUGGGGAUGCUUGAUACGUCUCGAACGUAUCUAUAAUUUUUGAUUGUUCUAUGCUAUUAUAUUAUCUGUUUUGUAUGUUUAAUGGGCUUUAUUAUGCACUUUUAUAUUAUUUUUGGGACUAACCUACUAACCCAAGGCCCAGUGCAAAUUGCUGUUUUUUUGCCUAUUUCAGUGUUUCGCAAAAAAGGAAUAUCAAACGGAAUGAAACCUUCGGGAGAGUUAUUCUUGGAACAAACGCAAUCCAGGAGACUUGGAGUGGACGUCAAGGAAGUAACAAGGCGGCCACGAGAUAGGGAGGCGCGCCCAGGGGGUAGACGCGCCCUGCUACCUCUUGAGCACUGCGUUGGUUUUCCCUUGAAGAGGCAAGGGUGAUGCAGUAAAGUAGCGUAAGUAUUUCCCUCAGUUUUUGAGAACCAAGGUAUCAAUCCAGUAGGAGACCACGCUCAAGUCCCACGCACCUACACAAACAAAUAAGAACCUUGCAACCAACGCGAUAAAGGGGUUGUCAAUCCGUUCAUGGCCGCUUGCAAAAGUGAGAUCUGAUAGAGAUGAUAAGAUAAUAUUUUUGGUAUUUUUAUGAUAAAGACUAAAAGUAAAGAAAGCAAAGUAAACGGUAAUAGAAAUAACUUGUUGACGGGAGAUUAAUAUGAUGGAAAAUAGACCCGGGGGCCAUAGGUUUCACUAGUGGCUUCUCUCAAGAUAGCAUAAGUAUUACGGUGGGUAAACAAAUUACUGUCGAGCAAUUGAUAGAAUUGAGCAUAGUUAUGAGAAUAUCUAGGUAUGAUCAUGUAUAUAGGCAUCACAUCCGUGACAAGUAGACCGACUCCUGCCUGCAUCUACUACAAUUACUCCACACAUCGACCGCUAUCCAUCAAGCAUCUAGAGUAUUAAGUUCAUAAGAACGGAGUAACGCUUUAAGCAAGAUGACAUGAUGUAGAGGGAUAAACUCAUGCAAUAUGAUAAAAACCCCAUCUUUUUAUCCUCGAUGGCAACAAUACAAUACGUGUCGUUUCCCCUACUGUCACUGGGAUCGAGCACCGCAAGAUUGAACCCAAAGCUAAGCACUUCUCCCAUUGCAAGAAAGAUCAAUCUAGUACGCCAAACCAAACUGAUAAUUCGGAGAGACUUGCAAAGAUAACCAAUCAUACAUAAAAGAAUUCAGAGGAGAUUCAAAUAUUGUUCAUAGAUAAUCUUGAUCUUAAACCCACAAUUCAUCGGAUCUCGACAAACACACUGCAAAAGAAGAUUACAUCGAAUAGAUCUCCCAGAGAAUCGAGGAAAACUUUGUAUUGAGAUCCAAAGAGAGAGAACAAGCCAUCAAGCUAAUAACUAUGGACCCGAAGGUCUGAGGUAAACUACUCACACAUCAUCGGAGAGGCUAUGGUGUUGAUGUUGAAGUCCUCCGUGAUCGAUUCCCCCUCCGGCGGAGCGCCGGAAACGGCCCCAAGAUGGGAUCUCACGGGUAUAGAAGGUUGCGGCGGUGGAAAUAGGGUUUUGGCUCUGCCCCUGAUGUUUUCGGGGUACGUAGGUAUAUAUAGGAGGAAGAAGUAGGUCGGUGGAGCUACGAGGGGCCCACGAGGGUGGAGGGCGCGCCCCCUGCCUCGCGCCCUCCUCAUUGCUUGCUUGAUGUCCACUCCAAGUCCUCUGGAUCACGUUUGUUCCGAGAAUCACGUUCCCGAAGGUUUCAUUCCGUUUGGACUCCGUUUGAUAUCCUUUUCCUUCGAAACACUGAAAUAGGCAAAAAAACACUAAUUUGGGCUGGGCCUCCGGUUAAUAGGUUAGUCCCAAAAAUAAUAUAAAAGUGUAUAAUAAAGCCCAUUGAACAUCCAAAACAGAAUAUAUAAUAGCAUGGAACAAUAAAAAAUUAUAGAUACGUUGGAGACGUAUCACGCCCCGACCCUCGUGGGCCCCUCGUGGCUCCACCAACCUACUUCUUUCGCCUAUAUAUACUCAUAUACCCUGAAAACAUCUGAGAGCACCAAGAAACCCUAUUUCCACUGCCGCAACCUUCUGUACCCAUGAGAUCCCAUCUUGGGGCCUUUUCCGGUGCUCCGCCGGAGGGGGAAUCGAUCAUGGAGGGCUUCUACAUCAACACCAUAGCCUCUCCGAUGAUGUGUGAGUAGUUUACCACAGACCUUCGGGUCCAUAGUUAUUAGCUAGAUGGCUUCUUCUCUCUCUUUGGAUCUCAAUACAAAGUUUUCCUCGAUCUUCUUGGAGAUCUAUUCGAUGUAAUUCUUUUUGCAGUGUGUUUGUUGGGGAACGUAGCAGAAAUUCAAAAUUUUCCUACGUGUCACCAAGAUCAAUCUAUGGAGUCAUCUAGCAACGAGAGAGAGGGGAGUGCAUCUACAUACCCUUGUAGAUCGCGCGCGGAAGCGUUCAAGAGAACGGGGUUGAUGGAGUCGUACUCGUCGUGAUCCAAAUCACCGAUGAUCCUAGCGCCGAACGGACGGCACCUCCGCGUUCAACACACGUACGGAGCGGGGACGUCUCCUCCUUCUUGAUCCAGCAAGGGGGGAGGAGAAGUUGAUGGAGAUCCAGCAGCACGACGGCGUGGUGGUGGAAGUAGCGGGAUCCCGGCAGGGCUUCGCCAAGCGCAAGCGGGGAGGAAGAGGUGUCACGGGAGGGAGGGAGGCGCCAGGGCUUGUGGUGCUGCUCCCAUGCGCCUCCCCACUAUAUAUAGGGGUGGAGGGGGCUGGUUUCUUGCCCUCCAAGUCCAUUGGGGCGUUGGCAAAGGUGGGAGAAAGAAAUCCCAUCAUUUCCCUUCCCCACCGAUUGUUAUCCCCCUUUUUAGGGAUCUUGAUCUUAUCCCUUCGGGAUAUGAUCUUAUUCCUUCUAAGGUGGGAUCUUGGUGCGCCUUGACCAGGGGUGUGGGGCCUUGCCCCCACUACCCACGUUCAUGUGGGUCCCCCUAUGCAGGUGGGCCCCACUUCGGAACCUUCUAGAACCUUCUCGGUACAAUACCGAAAAAUCCUGAACAUUUUCCGGUGACCAAAAUAGGACUUCCCAUAUAUAAAUCUUUACCUCCGGACCAUUCCGGAACUCCUCGUGACGUCCGGGAUCUCAUCCGGGACUCCGAACAACUUUCGGUUAACCGCAUACUAAUAUCUCUACAACUCUAGCGUCACCGAACCUUAAGUGUGUAGACCCUACGGGUUCGGGAGACAUGCAGACAUGACCGAGACGACUCUCUGGUCAAUAACCAACAGCGGGAUUUGGAUACCCAUGUUGGCUCCCACAUGUUCCACGAUGAUCUCAUUGGAUGAACCACGAUGUCGAGGAUUCAAUCAAUCCCGUAUACAAUUCCCUUUGUCAAUCGGUACGUUACUUGCCCGAGAUUCGAUCGUCGGUAUCCCAAUACCUUGUUCAAUCUCGUUACCGGCAAGUCACUUUACUCGUACCGUAACGCAUGAUCCCGUGGCUAACUCCUUAGUCACAUUGAGCUCAUUAUUAUGAUGCAUUACCGAGUGGGCCCAGAGAUACCUCUCCGUCGUAUGGAGUGACAAAUCCCAGUCUCGAUUCGUGCCAACCCAACAGACACUUUCGGAGAUACCUGUAGUGCACCUUUAUAGCCACCCAGUUACGUUGUGAAGUUUGGUACACCCAAAGCAUUCCUACAGUAUCCGGGAUUUGCAAAAUCUCAUGGUCUAAGGAAAUGAUACUUGACAUUAGAAAAGCUCUAGCAAACGAACUACACGAUCUUGUGCUAUGCUUAGGAUUGGGUCUUGUUCAUCACAUCAUUCUCCUAAUGAUGUGAUCCCGUUAUCAAUGACAUCCAAUGUCCAUGGUCAGGAAACCAUAACCAUCUAUUGAUCAACGAGCUAGUCAACUAGAGGCUUACUAGGGACAUGUUGUGGUCUAUGUAUUCACACAUGUAUUACGGUUUCCAGUUAAUACAAUUAUAGCAUGAACAACAGACAAUUAUCAUGAACAAGGAAAUACAAUAAUAACCAUUUUAUUAUUGCCUCUAGGGCAUAUUUCCAACAGUCUCCCACUUGCACUAGAGUCAAUAAUCUAGUUCACAUCACCAUGUGAUUAACACUCAAAGUUCACAUCGCCAUGUGACUAAUACCCAAGAGUUUACUAGAGUCAAUAAUCUAGUUCACAUCACCAUGUGAUUAACACUCAAUGAGUUCUAGGGUUUGAUCAUGUUAUGCUUACGAGAGAGGUUUUAGUCAACGGGUCUGCAACAUUCAGAUCCGUGUGUGCUUUACAAAUCUCUAUGUCAUCUUGUAGAUGCAGCUACCACGCGCUACUUGGAGCUAUUCCAAAUAACUACUCUACUAUACGAAUCCGGUUCACUACUCAGAGUCAUCCGGAUUAGUGUCAAAGUUUGCAUCGACGUAACCCUUUACGACGAACCCCCUUUCCACCUCCAUAAUCGAGAAAAUUCCUUAGUCCACUAGAUACUAAGGAUAAGUUCGACCGCUGUCAUGUGAUCCCUUCUUGGAUCACUAUUGUACCCCUUGACUAACUCAUGGCAAGGCACACUUCAGGUGCGGUACACAGCAUAGCAUAUUGUAGAGCCUACGUCUAAAGCAUAGGGGACGACCUUCGUCCCUUCUCUUUCUUCUGCCGUGGUCAGGUCUGGAGUCUUCCUCAAUAGUCACACCUUGUAACACAGCCAAGAACUCCUUCUUUGCUGAUCUAUUUUGAACUCCUUCAAAAUCUUGUCACGGUAUGUAUUCAUUUGAAAGUACUAUUAAGCGUUUUUGAUCUAUCCUUAUAGAUCUUGAUGCUCAAUGUUCGAGUAUAGCUUAAUCUAGGUUUUCCAUUAAAAACACUUUUCAAAUAACCUUGGAUGCUUUCUAGAAAUUCUACAUCAUUUCUGAUCAACAAUAUGUUAACAACAUAUAAUCAUCAAAAAUUCUAUUGUGCUCCCACUCACUUCUCUGGAAAUACAAGUUUCUCAUGAACUUUGUAUAAACCCAAAAUCUUUGAUCAUCUCAUCAAAGCGUUCAUUCCAACUCCGAGAUGCUUACUCCAAUCCUUAGAAGGAUUGCUGGAGCUUUGCAUACUUGUUAGCAUCUUUCAGGAUUGACAAAACCUUCUGGUUGUAUCACAUACAACCUUUCCUCAAGAAAAUCGUCGAGGAAACAAUGUUUUGACAUCCUAUCUGCAAGAUUUCAUAAAUAAUGCAGUAACUGCUAAUAUAAUUCUAACAGGCUCUUAGCAUCGCUACGAGUGAGAAAGUCUCAUCGCAGUCAACUCCUUGAACUUGCCGGAAAACAUCUUAACAACAAGUCGAGCUUUCUUAAUGGUGACACUUACCAUCAUUGUCUGUCUUCCCUUUAAAAUCCAUCUGUACCCAACAGCCUUACGACCAUCAAGUAGUUCUUUCAAAGUCUAUACUUUGUUUUCAUACAUGGAUCCUCUCGGAUUUUAUGGCCUCGAGCCAUUCGUCGGAAUCCGGGCCCACCAUCGCUUCUCCAUAGCUCGUAGGUUCAUUGUUGUCUAGCAACAUGACUUCCAAGACAGGAUUACGUACCACUCUGAAGUAGUACGCAUCCUUGUCGUCCUAUGAGGUUUGGUAGUGACUUGAUCUGAAGUUUCAUGAUCACUGUCAUAAGCUUCCACUUUAAUUGGUGUAGGUGCCACAGGAACAACUUCCUGUGCCCUGCUACACAUUAGUUGAAGUGACGGUUCAGUGAACUCAUCAAGUCUCCACCAUCCUCCCACUCAAUUCUUUCGAGAGAAACUUUUCCUCGAGAAAGGACCCAUUUCUAGAAACAAUCACUUUUGCUUCCAGAUCUGAAACAGGAGGUAUACCCAACUGUUUUGGGUAUUCUAUGAAGAUGCAUUUAUCCGCUUUGGGUUCGAGCUUAUCAGCCUGAAACUUUUUCACAUAAGCGUCGCAGCCCCAAACUUUUAAGAAACGACAGCAUAGGUUUCUCUAAACCAUAGUUCAUACGGUGUCGUCUCAACGGAAUUGCGUGGUGCCCUAUUUAAAGUGAAUGCGGUUGUCUCUAAUGCCUAACCCAUAAACGAUAGUUGUAAUUCGAUAAGAGACAUCAUGGUAUGCACCAUAUCCAAUAGGGUGCAGUUAUGAUGUUCGGACACACCAUCACAAUAUGGUGUUCCAGGCGGUAUUAGUCAUGAAACAAUUUCCACAAUUUCUUAAUUGUGUGUCAAACUCGUAACUCAGAUAUUCAUCUCUAUGAUCAUAUCACAGACAUUUUAUCCUCUUGUCACGACGAUCUUCAACUUCACUCUGAAAUUACUUGAACCUUUCAAUAAUUCAGACUUGUGUUUCAUCAAGUAAAUAUUCUCAGCAUCUACUCAAAUCAUCUGUGAAGUAAGAACAUAACGAUAUCCACUGCGUGCCUCAGCACUCAUUGGACUGCACACAUCAAAUGUAUUACUUCCAACAAGUUGCUCUCUUGUUCCAUCUUACUGAAAACGAGGCCUUUCAGUCAUCUUGCCCAUGUGGUAUGAUUUGCAUGUCUCAAGUGAUUCAAAAUCAAGUGAGUCCAAAUGAUCCAUCUGUAUGGACUUUCUUCAUGCAUAUAUACUAAUAGACAUGGUUCGCAUGUCUCAAUCUUUUCAAAAACGAGUGAGUCCAAAGAUCCAUCAACAUGGAGCUUCUUCAUGCGUUUUAUACCAAUAUGACUCAAGUGGCAGUGCCACAAGUAUGCGGUACUAUCAUUACUAUCUUAUAUCUUUUGGCAUGAACAUGUGUAUCACUACGAUCGAGAUUCAAUAAACCAUUCAUUUUAGGUGCAAGACCAUUGAAGGUAUUAUUCAAAUAGACAGAGUAACCAUUAUUCUCCUUUAAUGAAUAACCGUAUUGCGAUAAACAUAAUCCAAUCAUGUCUAUGCUCAACGCAAACACCAAAUAACAAUUAUUCAGGUUUAACCCCAAUCUCGAUGGUAGAGGGAGCAUGCGAUGCUUGAUCACAUCAACCUUGGAAACACUUCCAACACAUAUCGUCAUCUCACCUUUAGCUAGUCUCCGUUUAUUCCGCAGCUUUUAUUUCGAGUUACUAACACUUAGCAACCAAACCGGUAUCUAAUACCCUGGUGCUACUAGGAGUACUAGUAAAGUACACAUUAAUAUAAUGUAUAUCCAAUAUACUUCUGUCGACCUUGCCUGCCUUCUCAUCUACCAAGUAUCUAGGGUAUUUCUGCUUCAGUAACCGUUCCCCUCAUUACAGAAGCACUUAGUCUCGGGUUUGGGUUCAACCUUGGGUUUCUUCACUAGAGCAGCAACUGAUUUGCCGUUUCAUGAAGUAUCCCUUCUUUCCCUUGCCCUUCUUGAAACUAGUGGUUUUACUAACCAUCAACAAUUGAUGCUCCUACUUGAUUCUUACUUUCGUGGUGUCAAACAUCGCGAAUAGCUCAAGGAUCAUCAUAUCUAUCCCUGAUUUGUUAUAGUUCAUCACGAAGCUCUAAUAGCUUGGUGGCAGUGACUAUGGAGAACCUUAACUAUCUCAUCUGGAAGAUUAACUCCCACUCGAUUCAAGUGAUUGUAGUACUCAGACAAUCUGAGCACAUGCUCAACAAUUGAGCUUUUCUCCCUUAGUUUGCAGGCUUAAGAAACUUGUCAGAGGUCUCAUACCUCUUGACGUGGGCACUAGUCUGAAAUCCCAAUUUCAGUCUUUGGAACAUCUCAUAUGUUCUGCGACCGUCUUUGGUGCCACAAUUUUAAACCGUUAGCAUCACACACUGAACUAUCACGUAGUCAUCAAAACGUGUAUGUCAGAUGUUUCGCAACAUCUACAGAAGACGCUCGAGGUUCAGCACACCGAGCGGUGCAUUAAGGACAUAAGACUUCUGUGCAGCAAUGAGGACAAUCCUCAGUUUACGGACCCAGUCCGCAUAAUUGCUGCUAUCAACUUUCAACUAAAUUUUCUAUAGGAACAUAUCUUAGUAGAACUAAAGCGUAAGCUAUGACAUUAUUUGCAAAGACCUUUUGACUAUGUUCAUGAUAAUUAAGUUCAUCUGAUUAUUUAAUGAACUCCCACUUAGAUAGACAUCCCUCUAGUCAUCUAAGUGAUACAUGAUCCGAAUCGACUAGGCCGUGUCCGAUCAUCACGUGAGACGGACUAGUCAUCAUCGGUGAACAUCUCCAUGUUGAUCGUAUCUACUAUACGACUCAUGUUCGACCUUUCGGUCUCUUGUGUUCCGAGGCCAUGUCUGUACAUGCUAGGCUCGUCAAGUCAACCUAAGUGUUUUGCUUGUGUUCCGAGGCCAUGUCUGUACAUGCUAGGCUCGUCAACACCCGUUGUAUGCGAACGUUAGAAUCUAUCACACCCGAUCAUCACGUGGUGCUUCAAAACAACGAACCUUCGCAACGGUGCACAGUUAGGGGGAACACAUCUCUUGAAAUUUUAGUGAGGGAUCAUCUUAUUUAUGCUACCAUCGUUCUAAGCAAAUAAGAUGUAAACAUGACAAACAUCACAUGCAAAUUAUAAAGUGACAUGAUAUGGCCAAUAUCAUCUUGCGCCUUUGAUCUCCAUCUUCGAGGCGCGGCAUGAUCACCUUCGUCACCGGCAUGACACCAUGAUCUCCAUCAUCAUGAUCUCCAUCAUCGUGUCUUCAUGAAGUUGUCUCGCCAACUAUUACUUCUACUACUAUGGCUAACGGUUAGCAAUAAAGUAAAGUAAUUACAUGGCAUUUUCAUUGACACGCAGGUCAUACAAUAAAUUAAGACAACUCCUAUGGCUCCUGCCGGUUGUCAUACUCAUCGACAUGCAAGUCGUGAUUCCUAUUACAAGAACAUGAUCAAUCUGAUACAUCACAUAUAUAAUUCAUCACAUCCUUUUGGCCAUAUCACAUCACAUAGCAUAGCCUGCAAAAACAAGUUAGACGUCUUCUAAUUGUUGUUGCAUGUUUUACGUGGCUGCUAUGGGUUUCUAGCAAGAACGUUUCUUACCUACGCAAAAGCCACAACGGUGAUAUGCCAAUUGCUAUUUACCCUCCAUAAGGACCCUUUUCAUCGAAUCCGAUCCGACUAAAGUGGGAGAGACAGACACCCGCUAGCCACCUUAUGCAUCAAGUGCAUGUCAGUCGGUGGAACCUGUCUCACGUAAGAGUACGUGUAAGGUCGGUCCGGGCCGCUUCAUCCCACAAUGCCGCCGAAUCAAGAUAAGACUAGUAAAGGUAAGCAAAUUGAACAAAUCGUCGCCCACAACUACUUUGUGUUCUACUCGUGCAUAGAAUCUACGCAUAAACCUGGCUCAUGAUGCCACUGUUGGGGAACGUAGCAGAAAUUCAAAAUUUUCCUACGUGUCACCAAGAUCAAUCUAUGGAGUCAUCUAGCAACGAGAGAGAGGGGAGUGCAUCUACAUACCCUUGUAGAUCGCGCGCGGAAGCGUUCAAGAGAACGGGGUUGAUGGAGUCGUACUCGUCGUGAUCCAAAUCACCGAUGAUCCUAGCGCCGAACGGACGGCACCUCCGCGUUCAACACACGUACGGAGCGGGGACGUCUCCUCCUUCUUGAUCCAGCAAGGGGGGAGGAGAAGUUGAUGGAGAUCCAGCAGCACGACGGCGUGGUGGUGGAAGUAGCGGGAUCCCGGCAGGGCUUCGCCAAGCGCAAGCGGGGAGGAAGAGGUGUCACGGGAGGGAGGGAGGCGCCAGGGCUUGUGGUGCUGCUCCCAUGCGCCUCCCCACUAUAUAUAGGGGUGGAGGGGGCUGGUUUCUUGCCCUCCAAGUCCAUUGGGGCGUUGGCAAAGGUGGGAGAAAGAAAUCCCAUCAUUUCCCUUCCCCACUGAUUGUUAUCACCCUUUUUAGGGAUCUUGAUCUUAUCCCUUCGGGAUAUGAUCUUAUUCCUUCUAAGGUGGGAUCUUGGUGCGCCUUGACCAGGGGUGUGGGGCCUUGCCCCCACUACCCACGUUCAUGUGGGUCCCCCCAUGCAGGUGGGCCCCACUUCGGAACCUUCUAGAACCUUCCCGGUACAAUACCGAAAAAUCCCGAACAUUUUCCGGUGGCCAAAAUAGGACUUCCCAUAUAUAAAUCUUUACCUCCGGACCAUUCCGGAACUCCUCGUGACGUCCGGGAUCUCAUACGGGACUCUGAACAACUUUCGGUUAACCGCAUACUAAUAUCUCUACAACUGUAGCGUCACCGAACCUUAAGUGUGUAGACCCUACGGGUUCGGGAGACAUGCAGACAUGACCGAGACGACUCUCCGGUCAAUAACCAACAGCGGGAUCUGGAUACCCAUGUUGGCUCCCACAUGUUCCAUGAUGAUCUCAUUGGAUGAACCACGAUGUCAAGGAUUCAAUCAAUCCCGUAUACAAUUUCCUUUGUCAAUCGGUACGUUACUUGCCCGAGAUUCAAUCGUCGGUAUCCCAAUACCUUGUUCAAUCUCGUUACCGGCAAGUCACUUUACUCGUACCGUAACGCAUGAUCCCGUGGCUAACUCCUUAGUCACAUUGAGCUCAUUAUGAUGAUGCAUUACCGAGUGGGCCCAGAGAUACCUCUCCAUCGUACGGAGUGACAAAUCCCAGUCUCGAUUCGUGCCAACCCAACAGACACUUUCGAAGAUACCUGUAGUGCACCUUUAUAGCCACUCAGUUACGUUGUGACGUUUGGUACACCCAAAGCAUUCCUACGGUAUCCGGGAGUUGCACAAUCUCAUGGUCUCAGGAAAUGAUACUUGACAUUAGAAAAGCUCUAGCAAACGAACUACACGAUCUUGUGCUAUGCUUAGGAUUGGGUCUUGUCCAUCACAUCAUUCUCCUAAUGAUGUGAUCCCGUUAUCAAUGACAUCCAAUGUCCAUGGUCAGGAAACCAUAACCAUCUAUUGAUCAACGAGAUAGUCAACUAGAGGCUUACUAGGGACAUGUUGUGGUCUAUGUAUUCACACAUGUAUUACGGUUUCCAGUUAAUACAAUUAUAGCAUGAACAACAGACAAUUAUCAUGAACAAGGAAAUACAAUAAUAACCAUUUUAUUAUUGCCUCUAGGGCAUAUUUCCAACAGUGUUUGUCAAGAUCCGAUGAAUUGUGGGUUUAUGAUCAAGAUUAUCUAUGAACACUAUUUGGUUCUUCUCUGAAUUCUUAUAUGUAUGAUGUGAUAUCUUUGCAAGUCUCUUCGAAUUAUCAGUUUGGUUUGGCCUACUAGAUUGAUCUUUCUUGCAACGGGAGAAGUGCUUAGCUUUGGGUUCAAUCUUAUCGCUUCCUUACUAGUUACUGUGCGCCGCAGUGCCAUGGACGACGCCUGGAGAGAGCUCUGGGACGGAGGGGCCGGGCAGCCGUACAGUGUGGUGGUAUUCAAGAGCUCAACCACAAAUGACAACAGAAAUUUGGCUUCCCUUACAAUUUUGCUCGUUCAUUAUCGCACACGGUUCAUCUCUGUCGCUUUCGGAAACAGUGUGCGCUGAGCCUAUUGUGUGUUUCGUUAUGAUUGGCCGGAACCCCAGCCACGCGGAUCGUGCGUGUACACCGUAGGAUGCGCCGCGAUCGAACGGCAAUCCACGUCCCUCACAUCACACACGUGCACCUGUAGCUGGAUUGGAUUUAUAUGCGCUAAAUGCCUAGAAAAUCGCAUAAUCCCCUAAAUAUGGUAAAUGAGCCCGGAAAAUGCCAAAUUUGAACACGGUGAUUUGCAGGGUGUAUGUUCGUCGUAGAAAAAAACUCCAGGGCAAAGAACAAAGAAAAUUAGGAUUCCCCUUCAAUCUUCAUGAUUUCCCUCUCGUAAGCAUGGAAAUUCUUUGGUGAUGGUUUGAUUUAUGAAGGGCGUGCAUGACGACAUAAGCAAAACCUUCUCAAAUUUUUACCAGGGCAUGGUGAGUUCAUACCAUGGACAAAAUGCCAGGCGUCAUGUUUUUCAAGCAUUUAUUUCAUUUUUUUUCUAUAGUUGAAAAACCAAUAAACAAACGUUUGUGGUUGACUAUUGCCACACAUUUCAUCGAAAUAUCUGUCCCUUCCUUGUAAAAGGCAUGAGAAUUUACUAAAUGGCACGAGCAUGGUUUUCCAGGCCGUUCUUGUGCACCCUUUCAUGCACCGAUUGUUUGAACUUGAAUUAUGUGCAUUAAUGCCUAGGAAAUGCACAUAAUUCCCUAAAUAUGGAAAAUGAACCCGGAAAAGUGCCAAAUUUGAACAUGGUGAUUUGCAGGUUGUAUGUUCAUCAUAAAAAAACUCGUGGACAAACGACAAAGGAAAUUUGGAUCCCCCUUCAAUCUUGGUGAUUUCCCCCUCGAAACCAUGAAACUUCCUCGGUGAUGGUUCGAUUUAUGAAAGGCGUGCAUCACGACAUAAGGAAAACAUUCUCCAAUUUUUACCAGGGCAUGGUGAGGCCAUACCAUGGCACCACGCCAGGCGUCAUGUUUUCCAACCAUGUGUUUCAUUUUUUGUAUAGUUGUUAACCCAGUAAACGAGGCGUUUAUGGUUGACUAUUGCCACACAUUUCCCUGAAAUAUCUGCCCAUUCCUUGUAAAAGGCAUGAGAAUGUACUAAAUAACACGAGCAUGGGUUUCCAGACCGUUCUUGUGCACCUUUUCAUGCACCGAUUGUUCGAAUUUGAAUUAUGUCCAUUAAUGCCUAGAAAAUGCACAUAAUCCCAUAAAUAUGGUAAAUGAGCCCGGAAAAAUUUCAAAUUUGAACACGUUGCAUUUGAGGCGAUAUGUUGAUCGUUGGAAAAAAACUGAAUGACAAACUAGGACGGAAAUUUGGAUUCCCCUUCAAUCUUGGGGAUUUCCCUCUCGAAAGCAUGGAACUAUUGGGGAACGUAGUAAUUUCAAAAAAAAUUCCUACGCACACGCAAGAUCAUGGUGAUGCAUAGCAACGAGAGGGGAGAGUGUGUCCACGUACCCUCGUAGACCGAAAGCGGAAGCGUUAUGACAACGCAAUUGAUGUAGUCGUACGUCUUCACGAUCCGACCGAUCCAAGUACCGAACGCACGGCACCUCCGAGUUCAGCACACGUUCAGCUCGAUGACGUCCCACGAACUCCGAUCCAGCAGAGCUUCGAGGGAGAGUUCCGUCAGCACGAUGGCGUGAUGAUGGUGAUGAUGAAGCUACCGACGCAGGGCUUCGCCUAAGAACCGCUACGAUAUGACCGAGGUAGAUUAUGGUGGAGGGGGGCACCGCACAUGGUUGGGAGAGAUCAACUAAUCAACUUGUGUGUCUAGAGGUGCCCCCUUGCCCCCGUAUAUAAAGGAGCAAGGGGGGAGAGGCGGCCGGCCAAGGAGGGCGCGCCAAGGGGGAAUCCUACUCCCACCGGGAGUAGGACUCCUCCUUUCCUUGUUGGAGUAGGAGAAGGGAAGGAAGGGAGAGAGGAGGAGAAGGAAAAAGGGGGGCGCCCCCCCUCCUUGUCCAAUUCGGACUAGAGGGGGAGGGGGCGCGCGGCUGCCCUGGCCGCCCCUCCUCUUCUCCCACUAAGGCCCAUUAGGCCCAAUAUACUCCCCGGUACUCCGAAAAAUACCCGAAUCACCCGGAACCUUUCCGAUGUCCGAAUAUAGUCGUCCAAUAUAUCGAUCUUUACGUCUCGACCAUUUCGAGACUCCUCGUCAUGUCCCCGAUCUCAUCCGGGACUCCUAACUACCUUCGGUACAUCAAAUCACAUAAACUCAUAAUACCGAUCGUCACCGAACGUUAAGCGUGCGGACCCUACGGGUUCGAGAACUAUGCAAACAUGACCGAGACACGGCUCCGGUCAAUAACCAAAAGCGGAACAUGGAUGCUCAUAUUGGCUCCCACAUAUUCUACGAAGAUCUUUAUCGGUCAAACCGCAUAACAACAUACAUUGUUCCCUUUGUCAUCGGUAUGUUACCUGCCCGAGAUUCGAUCGUCGGCAUCUCAAUACCUAGUUCAAUCUCGUUACCGGCAAGUCUCUUUACUCGUUCCAUAAUGCAUCAUCCCGCAACUAACUCAUUAUUCACAUUGCUUGCAAGGCUUAUAGUGAUGUGCAUUACCGAGAGGGCCCAGAGAUACCUCUCCGACAAUCGAAGUGACAAAUCCUAAUCUCGAAAUACGCCAACUCAACAAGUACCUUCGGAGACACCUGUAGAGCACCUUUAUAAUUGCUACCUCUUGAGCACUGCGUUGGUUUUCCCUUGAAGAGGAAAGGGUGAUGCAGUAAAGUAGCGUAAGUAUUUCCCUCAGUUUUUGAGAACCAAGGUAUCAAUCUAGUAGGAGAUGAUGCACGAGUCCCUCGUACCUACACAAGCAAAUAAGAACCUCGCAACCAACGCGAUAAAGGGGUUGUCAAUCCCUCAACGGUCACUUACGAGAGUGAGAUCUGAUAGAUAUGAUAAGAUAAUAUUUUUGGUAUUUUUAUAAUAAAGAUGCAAAGUAAAAUAAAGGCAAUAAAAAUAGCUAAGUGUUGGAAGAUUAAUAUGAUGGAAAAUAGACCCGGGGGCCAUAGGUUUCACUAGUGGCUUCUCUCGAGAGCAUAAGUAUUAUGGUGGGUGAACAAAUUACUGUUGAGCAUAGUUAUGAGAAUAUCUAGGUAUGAUCAUGUAUAUAGGCAUCACGUCCGCGACAAGUAGACCGACUCCUGCCUGCAUCUACUACUAUUACUCCACACAUCGACCGCUAUCCAGCAUGCAUCUAGAGUAUUAAGUUCAUAAGAACAGAGUAACGCUUUAAGCAAGAUGACAUGAUGUAGAGGGAUAAACUCAUGCAAUAUGAAAUAAACCCCAUCUUGUUAUCCUCGAUGGCAACAAUACAAUACGUGCCUUGCUGCCCCUACUGUCACUGGGAAAGGACACCGCAAGAUUGAACCCGAAGCUAAGCACUUCUCCCAUUGCAAGAAAGAUCAAUUUAGUUGGCCAAACCAAACUGAUAAUUCAAAGAGACUUGCAAAGAUAACCAAUCAUACAUAAAAGAAUUCAGAGAAGAUUCAAAUAUUGUUCAUAGAUAAACUUGAUCAUAAACCCACAAUUCAUCGGUCUCAACAAACACACCGCAAAAGAAGAUUACAUCGAAUAGAUCUCCACGAGAAUCGUGGAGAACUUUGUAUUGAGAUCCAAAGAGAGAGAAGAAGCCAUCUAGCUAAUAACUAUGGACCCGAAGGUCUGAGGUAAACUACUCACACAUCAUCGGAGAGGCUAUGGUGUUGAUGUAGAAGCCCUCCGUGAUCAAUGCCCCCUCCGGCGGAGCGCCGGAAAAGGCCCCAAGAUGGGAUCUCACGGGUACAGAAGGUUGCGGCGGUGGAAUUAGGUUUUUGGCUCCGUAUCUGGUAGUUUGGGGGUACGUAGGUAUAUAUAGGAGGAAGAAGUACGUCGGUGGAGCAACGUGCGCCCCACGAGGGUGGAGGGCGCGCCCAGGGGGGUAGGCGCGCCCCCCGACCUCGUGCCCUCCUGGUUGAUUUUUUGACGUAGGGUCCAAGUCCUCUGGAUCACGCUUGUUCUAAAAAUCAUGUUCCCGAAGGUUUCAUUCCGUUUGGACUCCGUUUGAUAUGCUUUUUCUGAGAAACACUGAAAUAGGCAAAAACAGCAAUUCUGGGCUGGGCCUCCGGUUAAUAGGUUAGUCCCAAAAAUAAUAUAAAAGUGUAUAAUAAAGCCCAUUAACAUCCAAAACAGAAUAUAAUAUAGCAUGGAACAAUAAAAAAUUAUAGAUACGUUGGAGACGUAUCAAGCAUCCCCAAGCUUAAUUCCUGCUCGUCCUCGAGUAGGGAAAUGAUAAAAACAGAAUUUUUGAUGUGGAAUGCUACUUAGCAUAAUUUUCAAUGUAAUUCUCUUAAUUGUGGUAUGAAUAUUCAGAUCCGAAAGAUUCAAGACAAAAGUUUAAUAUUGACAUAAAAAUAAUAAUACUUCAAGCAUACUAACUAAGCAAUCAUGUCUUCUCAAAAUAACAUGGCCAAAGAAAGUUAUCCCUACAAAAUCAUAUAGUCUGGCUAUGCUCUGAUAAAAAGGACGGAGAUUAUUUUUGGAAUAUUUGGAGAAUAUGGGAAGGAAAAUCCACGCGAGACGGUGCCAGAGGGAGGCACGAGGCAGGGGCGUGCCCCACCCCCCUGGGCGCGCCCCUGACCCUCGUGGGCUUACCGUAAGGCGGUUGAUGCCCUUCUUCGGCUGCAAGAAAGCUAAUUUUUAGGGAAAAAUCACGGCAAAGAUUUCAGUCCAAUCGGAGUUACGGAUCUCCAUAUAUAUACGAAACGGUGAAAGGGCAGAAGAGGAGAACGCAGAAACAGAGAGAGACAGAGAGACAGAUCCAAUCUACCAGAGGGGAAACCCUUCUCCCAUCUAGGGAGGAGGUCAAGGAAGAUGAAGAAGAAGAAGGGGGGCCCUCUCCCCCUCUCUUCCGGUGGCGCCGGAACACCGCCGGGGCCAUCAUCAUCACCGUAAUCUUCACCAACAACUUCACCGCCAUCAUCACCAACUCUUCCCCCCUGUGACACCCGGAUAAUUAAGCUACAGUAAUCCUCUACUAAUGUUGCCACGUCACCACGAUUACUAUUGAUAAUCUCACGAUGAUUCAAAACUCGUUCAAAUUAAAAUUUGAAAUAAAGUCAAACUAGAAGAGUUUUCAAAAGUCAAAACUAAAAUGCUCUAAAUGUAGCAAGUAAUUCAUAAUAAAUAUUGGUGGAGAAACCAAACCUUUAAAACAUGUUCAAAUGCUCAAAAGUAAUUAACCCAGUGGCUAAAACAAUUAAAUAAAUGACUUUUGUAUUUUAUAAAAUCCUAAACUAAUUGAUUUGGAAGUCAAGCUUUUAUGGCAGAGGCUUAAUUUACAACACUAAUUUAGGCGCUAAUUAUUUAUCUUAAUAGAGUUAAAUUAAAUUGGAAGAUAAAAGAAAACAGAAAAGAAAACAAAGAAAAAGUGAAAACAAAACAAAAGAAAAACGAAGAAAAGCCCCCCCGGGCUUCGGCCCAGCUGACCACAGGCCCAACUGGGCCAAGCAACCAGGCCAACCGCCGGCCCACCCUNNNNNNNNNNNNNNNNNNNNNNNNNNNNNNNNNNNNNNNNNNNNNNNNNNNNNNNNNNNNNNNNNNNNNNNNNNNNNNNNNNNNNNNNNNNNNNNNNNNNNNNNNNNNNNNNNNNNNNNNNNNNNNNNNNNNNNNNNNNNNNNNNNNNNNNNNNNNNNNNNNNNNNNNNNNNNNNNNNNNNNNNNNNNNNNNNNNNNNNNNNNNNNNNNNNNNNNNNNNNNNNNNNNNNNNNNNNNNNNNNNNNNNNNNNNNNNNNNNNNNNNNNNNNNNNNNNNNNNNNNNNNNNNNNNNNNNNNNNNNNNNNNNNNNNNNNNNNNNNNNNNNNNNNNNNNNNNNNNNNNNNNNNNNNNNNNNNNNNNNNNNNNNNNNNNNNNNNNNNNNNNNNNNNNNNNNNNNNNNNNNNNNNNNNNNNNNNNNNNNNNNNNNNNNNNNNNNNNNNNNNNNNNNNNNNNNNNNNNNNNNNNNNNNNNNNNNNNNNNNNNNNNNNNNNNNNNNNNNNNNNNNNNNNNNNNNNNNNNNNNNNNNNNNNNNNNNNNNNNNNNNNNNNNNNNNNNNNNNNNNNNNNNNNNNNNNNNNNNNNNNNNNNNNNNNNNNNNNNNNNNNNNNNNNNNNNNNNNNNNNNNNNNNNNNNNNNNNNNNNNNNNNNNNNNNNNNNNNNNNNNNNNNNNNNNNNNNNNNNNNNNNNNNNNNNNNNNNNNNNNNNNNNNNNNNNNNNNNNNNNNNNNNNNNNNNNNNNNNNNNNNNNNNNNNNNNNNNNNNNNNNNNNNNNNNNNNNNNNNNNNNNNNNNNNNNNNNNNNNNNNNNNNNNNNNNNNNNNNNNNNNNNNNNNNNNNNNNNNNNNNNNNNNNNNNNNNNNNNNNNNNNNNNNNNNNNNNNNNNNNNNNNNNNNNNNNNNUCAGCCCCGACGGGCGCCCACGCCCGUUACCACGCGCCCGCCCCGGUCGGCCUCCUGGGCCACUGCCGGGUGGGGCCCGAUGCCCCUGGGCCACUGACCUAGGGGCCCCACACCCCUAAAACGAAAAUAAAAAAAGAAAUGAAAAUGUAAUUAAUAAAAUUAUUAAUUAGUUAAUUAAUUAAGUUAAUUAAUCCUGUUUAAAUUAAUUUAAUUAAUUAGUUAAUUUAAUUAAACAGAAUUAAUUAGCUAAACCCUAAUUAAACUAAGCAGUGUAUGACAUGCGGGACCCACACGUAGUUGACCCAGUCAACUGCACAGUUGACUGCUGACGUCAGCAUGAUGUCAUGCUGACGUCAUCUUUUACUAUUCUGGAUAAUGUUGAUUUAAAAUGAUUAAAUAAAUCCUAAAAUGAUUAAAUCUUUAGAAAAUCAUAUAAAAUAAUCCGUAUCUCGGAUGAAAAUACUUUCUACAUGAAAGUUGCUCAGAACGACGAGACGAAUCCGGAUACGCAGCCCGUUCGUCCGCCACACAUCCCUAACAUAUCGAACUCGCAACUUUCCCCCUCUGUUUCAUCUGACCGAAAAUGCGAAACAUCGGGAAUACUUUCCCGGAUGUUCCCCCCCUUCGCCGGUACCACCUACUGCCGCGUUAGGGCACACCUAGCACCGCUCAUUGUCAUGUCACGCAUCGUCAUGCUUAUGUUUGCAUUGUAUUUACUGUUUCUUCCCCCUCUUCUCUCCGGUAGACUACGAGACCGACGCUGCUACUGCCCAGUUCGACUACGGAGUUGACGACCCCUCCUACUUGCCAGAGCAACCAGGCAAGCCCCCCCCCCUUGAUCACCAGAUAUCGCCUAUUCUUCUCUAUACUGCUUGCAUUAGAGUAGUGUAGCAUGUUACUGCUUUCCGUUAAUCUUAUCCUAAUGCAUAGCCUGUCAUUGUUGCUACAGUUGUUACCCUUACCUGCUAUCCUACUUCUUAGUAUAGGAUGCUAGUGUUCCAUCAGUGUCCCUACACUCUUGUCCGUCUGCCAUGCUAUACUACUGGGCCGUGAUCACUUCGGGAGGUGAUCAUGGGUAUAUACUAUAUACUUUAUAUACAUGACACAUGUGGUGACUAAAGUCGGGUCGGCUUGUUGAGUACCCGCAAGUGAUUCUGAUGAGGGGGCUGAAAGGACAGGUGGCUCCAUCCCGGUAGAGGUGGGCCUGGGUUCCUGACGGCCCCCGACUGUUACUUUAUGGCGGAGCGACAGGGUAGGUUGAGACCACCUAGGAGAGAGGUGGGCCUGGCCCUGGUCGGCGUUCGCGGAUACUUAACACGCUUAACGAGAUCUUGGUAUUUGAUCUGAGUCUGGCCAUUUGGUCUAUACGCACUAACCAGCUACGCAGGAACAGUUAUGGGCACUCGACGUCGUGGUAUCAGCCGAAGCUCUUCUUGACAUCAGCGACGGAGCGGCGCACGCCGGAUUGGACUGGAACGCCUGCUAGGCUAGGUCUGCUUCCGGCCGCCCUCGCAACGUGCAGGUGUGCAAUGGGCGAUGGGCCCAGACCCCUGCGUGCAUAGGAUUUAGACCGGCGUGCUGACCUCUCUAUUGAGCCUAGGUGGGGCUGCGACAUGUUGAUCUUACGAGGCCGGGCAUGACCCAGAAAAGUGUGUCCGGCCAAAUGGGAUCGAGCGUGUUAGGUUAUGUGGUGCACCCCUGCAGGGAAGUUUAUCCAUUCGAAUAGCCGUGUCCCUCGGUAAAAGGACGACCCGGAGUUGUACCUUGACCUUAUGACAACUAGAACUAGAUACUUAAUAAAACACACCCUUCCAAGUGCCAGAUAUAACUCGGUGAUCGCUCUCUAACAGGGCGACGAGGAGGGGAUCGCCGGGUAGGAUUAUGCUAUGCGAUGCUACUUGGUGAACUUACCAUCUACUCUCUUCUACAUGCUGCAAGAUGGAGGUGGCCAGAAGCGUAGUCUUCGACAGGAUUAGCUAUCCCUCUCUUAUUCUGGCAUUCUGCAGUUCAGUCCACUGAUAUGGCCCUUUACACAUAUACCCAUGCAUAUGUAGUGUAGCUCCUUGCUUGCGAGUACUUUGGAUGAGCACUCACGGUUGCUUUUCUCCCUCUUUUCCCCUUUCUAUACCUGAUUGUCGCAACCAGAUGCUGGAGUCCAGGAGCUAGAGAUCUCGAGGAUGAUUCUACAUGGAGUUCGGCUUCGAGGAGUAGUUAGGAGGUCCCAGGCAGGAGGCCUUGCCUUUUCGAUCGUUGCUACUUUUGUGCUAGCCUUCUUAAGGCAAACUUGUUUAACUUCUGUCUGUACUCAGAUAUUGUUGCUUCCGCAGACUCGUCUAUGAUCGAGCACUUGUAUUCGAGCCCUCGAGGCCCCUGGCUUGUAUUAUGAUGCUUGUAUGACUUAUUUAUGUUGUACAGUUGUGUUGUGAUAUCUUCCCGUGAGUCCCUGAUCUUGAUCGUACACAUUUGCGUGCAUGAUUAGUGUACGGUCGAAUUGGGGGCAUCACACCCCCUCUAUGCACCAGUGUAACCUCUCUCUUACCCGCUGUAAUCUCUACUUAAACAUGGUGCUCAACGCUAUAUAUUAUUUCCCAAUGAUGUAUGGCUAUCCUAUGAUGUUUGAGUAGAUCUGUUUUGUCCUAUGGGCUAUUUGAUGAAACACAAACCCGAGUAAGGGGGUUGUUGCGUAUGGGAUAAAGAGGACUUGGUGCUUUAAUGCUAUGGUUGGAUUUUACCUUAAUGAUCUUUAGUAGUUGCGGAUGCUUGCUAGAGUUCCAAUCAUAAGUGCAUAUGAUCCAAGUAGAGAAAGUAUGUUAGCUUAUGCCUCUCCCUCAAAUAAAAUUGCAAUAAUGAUUACCGGUCUAGUUAUCGAUUGCCUAGGGACAAAUAACUUUCUCGUGACAAAAAGCUCUUUACUAAAACUAACUUAGUUGUGUCUUCAUCUAAAUAGCCCCUACUUUUUAUUUACGUGCUCUUUAUAUUCUUGCAAACCUAUCCAAAAACACCUACAAAGUACUUCUAGUUUCAUACUCGUUCUAGGUAAAGCAAACGUCAAGCGUGUGUAGAGUUUUAUCGGUGGUCGAUAGAACUUGAGGGAAUAUUUGUUCUGCCUUUAGCUCCUCAUUGGGUUCGACACUCUUACUUAUCGAAAGAGGCUACAAUUGAUCCCAUAUACUUGUGGGUUAUCAAGACCUUUUUCUGGCGCCGUUGCCGGGGAGUCAUAGCGUGGGGUGAAUAUUCUCGUGUCUGCUUGUUUGCUUUAUCACUAAGUAAUUUUUAUUUGCUGUUCUUAGUUGUUUUCUAUCUUUAGUUAUGGGUAGGAAACUCAAAAUACCAAAAAAAUUAGUUGUACCUACUGAACCAAUGUUUGAAGAACCACUCAAAAUCUAUCACACUCCUGAAGCUUAUUACUUGGAUCAUCUUCGAUCCCUAUGUGCUCGUGCUGAAACCCCAACUAGCUUAGUUGAGGGCAGAUCUUUAGAUGAGCAUGCUUGUUAUGUGCGACACCGCAUAUCUGAAAAAGGGAAACGUUUACUGGAUCAAAUUCAUCGUUUGCAAUGCUAUGCUUGGAAUUUAUGUGAAAUAUAUGAUGUUACUUGUUGUUCUGAAAACCCUAAGAAACACCUUCCCUACCAAUGUGAGUUUAUUGAUAAUUGAAUCGUAUCUUCGUAUGCUAAGGGUGUUUAUAAUUACUAUGAUGUUCAACAAAUUGAAGAAUUUGUUGCUUUUAAGGGUGCUUACGAGAUUGCUUCUUUGAUUGAAACGUAUGAUGCUACGCUUUACAAAUCUGAAAAUUUUGCCAUACUUAAAUAUUGCUAUGAUAAUUAUGCUUCUAAUGCCUAUGUUGAACCAUAUAUUGAGGACUACUUCGCUGUCCAAGAAGAGACUAAUAUUUUGCAGGAGUCUAUGGAAGAAGAAAUUGAUGAAACUGUGAGCUCAUUGGAUGAAAAAGAUGAUGAGGAGAGCGAAGAACAAAAGGAGGAACAGCGGAUUAGCUACCCGUGCCCACCUUCUAAUGAGAGUAACUCUUCAACUCAUACAUUGUUUAUUUUCCCUUCAUGCUUACCGAAGGAUGAUUGCUAUGAUGACUAUUAUGAUCCCAUUGAUUCUCUUGCAAUAUCCUUUUAUGAUGAUGCUUGCUAUGCUUGUGGCCAAGAUGCCAAUAUGAAUUAUGCUUAUGGAGAUGAACUUUCUAUAGUUCCUUAUGUUAAACAUGAAAUUGUUGCUAUUGCACCCACGCAUGAUAGUCCUAUUAUCUUUUUGAAUUCUCCCAACUACACUAUAUCGGAGAAGUUUACCCUUAUUAAGGAUUAUAUUGAUGGGUUGCCUUAUACCGUUACACAUGAUGAUUUAGAUGAAUAUAAUAUGCAUGUGCUUGCUGCUCCUACUUUCAAUUAUUAUGAGAGAGGAACUAUAUCUCCACCUCUCUAUGUUUCCAAUACGAUAAAAUUGCAAGAAACUGUUUAUACUAUGCACUGGCCUUUACUUUGUGUGCAUGAAUUGUUCUUUUAUGACAUAUGCCGAUGCAUAAGAAGAGAGUUAGACUUCGUCAUUGCUUGAUAUAUGUUGUUUCGUGCUCACUACUAAAUGCCAAAUCAUUGCUAAUUAAAAUUGGCUUUGAUAUACCUUGGGAUCCGGGUGGAUUCACUACUUGAGCACUAUAUGCCUAGCUUAAUGGCUUUAAAGAAAGCGCUGCCUGGGAGACAACCCAGAAUUUUUAGAGAGUCAUUUAUUUCUGUUGAGUGCUUUCAUAUAGUUUUAAAAAAAUAAAGAGGGGAACCCGAAACUUUUCAAAAA